rnacentral:lncRNA from 1 species
UUCGGGCGGAGAAAAAAGACAGAGAAUUGGGUUUUUUUUUUUUCUUCAUAGGAUUUUGGGAAGACUGAGGCAAUCGUUGCUGAAGUCAGUGUUGUAAUGGUGAAUCGAGAUUUUUAAUGAAGUGGGUAUGAUUACUCUUGACUGUUUUGUGAAAUCGAAGUUACGUGUGUGAUUGAAGAAUUAAAAGGCUGUCUAUAGGAUUGAGUAUGCGGAGUGAAUGAAAUUUAUUGAGUUAAUCUAACAAGACAGUCAGUAGAUACAAGAUCGUGAGUAUAAAGCGGUAUCGAAGAUUAGCAGUUUGGGUUGUUCGGGGUUCUUUGUAACAUCUAGAGACCUACCGACUGGGGCAAAAAGGACUUCGGCAAGCAGUGAAAGGGCAUCCGUAUAGAUUUACGGUGUAUUUUUGCAGUCGUUUAUAUUCCAACAGUCAAUAACCGAUAGACUGCUUGAAUAUUGGCGAAUCUCCAUACUACCUUCUACAGCCCAACGCUCGGCGCGUUCUCAAGCAGGAAAGCACGUAAUACGACAACGGAUUGGGACACAUUUGCUUAUAAAGUUAUGUCAUUUGGGUUAUGUAAUGUUUCCAUCAUAUUUCAAAGAGUGAUGAUGAAAUCAUUUUAUGAUUAUUUAUAAUUAUUAAUGGAGAUAUUUUUAGAUAAUUUUUGUAUAUUUAAUAUAAGGGCCAAACAUUUGGAAUGUCUUGGUAAGUAUUUGGAUCAUUGUGAUCUUUAUGGAAUUUCUUUAAAUUCAGAGAAAUGCCAAUUUGGAGUAUUGACUGGUAAGUUAUUCAGACACUUUGUCUCACUGGCUAGUAUUGCUACUGAUAUAGAUAAAAUUACUAAUAUAUUGGCUUUACCAAAGCCAAAGAUAGUAUCAAGUAUUCAUAUUUUUAUCAACCAUAUUAAUUAUUAUUGAUAAUUUAUUCAUUUAUUUAUAGUUAUCUAUCAGCGUUUAAUUAAUCUUUUAAAAAAACCACCGUUGUAUAGAUCUAGCCUAAUUUGGAUUGAAUACUAUAUAAUUAUAUUGGAAGAAUUGAAAAAAAAAUUAAUAUCUCUAUCAAUACUAGUUGCACCUUGUUGGAUGAAAUAAUUUCAUGUUUAUGUUGAUACAUCCAAUGUUGCUAUUAGAUCUAUAUUGAGUCAAAAAGAAGAGAAUCAUUUUGAUCAUCUAAUAUAUUUUUUUAGUCGUCAAUUAGUUGCAAUAGAAUGAAAUUACUCUACUACAGAACUGAAAGCCUUAGGCAUGAUCUACUUUGUCUAAAAAUUUUGACAUUAUUUGCUUGGUUAUCCAUUUAUAUUUCAUGUCGAUUAUGAUGCUCUAAAAUAUAUGGUUAAUAAACCUCAAUUGAGUAGACGCAUUGCUUGAUGGAUGUUAUUACCUCAAGAAUUUAAUUUUACUAUUAAUAUUUGAUCAGGCAAGAAACAUGCUAAUGUACAUUACUUAUCCCGAUUGUUCAAUAUAUUAGAAAAUGAACCUAUCUAUGAUACACUUCUUGACAUAUAGUUAUUUGUCGUCGAUGUGAUUACAUCCAUAUAUAAUGAAUUGAUUUAAUAUUUGAUAUUUUAGAUAUUUCCAACUCCAUAUUGUGAGAAAUUAAAGAAAUGCCUGAUUUUAAAAAGUACGCCGUAUAUGAUGAUUGAUGAUGCCUUCUAUAAGCAAGGGCGGAAUGGAAUUUUAUACGAAUGUAUCUUUCAAAGUGAAGUAUGUAUCAUAUUAGAAGGAUGCCAUUUAGAUAGUUGUGGAGGGCAUUUUGACAAUGAUAGCAUUGCUUGUAAAGCUCUAAUGGCUCGAUAUUGGUGGCCAACCAUAUUUUUAGAUGUACACCAAUAUGUUCGACAUUAAAAAUCCUUGUCAACGAAUUGAUCAACCUAUCGAAACUUUUGCCAUGCUGUUGGUACCAAUUUUGGCACAAGCAUCGUUUAAGAAAUGAGAGAUUGAUUUUGUAGGAUCAAUCAUACUAGCCUCCCAAAAUGGAUAAAAAAGAUCUAUUUUAGUAGCGACCAAUUAUGUCACCAAAUAGGUUGAGGCUAUGACAACAAAAACUGAUAAUGCCAAUAUAGUAGCCACAUUUUUAUAUGAGAACAUUAUCACCCAUUUUGGGUGUCUUAAAGAGUUGAUUAGCAAUCGAAAAACCUAUUUUAUUAAUUCUAUGAUUGCAGCCCUGAUAGAUAAAUAUAACAUCAAAUAUCAAAAAAUAAUCCCAUAUCACCCUUAGAUCAAUGGGUAGACUAAAAAGACCAAUGAUAUUCUAUGUAAAAUUUUAACUAAGAUAGUAUCUGGUACUGGAAUAGAUUAAGAUACUAAAUUGUUUACAGCAUUAUGGAUGUAUUGUACUACAUAUAAGGUGACUAUCAAUUCUACACCAUUCCAAUUAGUAUAGAGAUAAGAGGCAAUCUUACCAAUUGAAUUGGAGGUACAAAGUUUGAAAGUUACAUUAGAUGAACAUCUUGGCAAUAAAGAAUCCUUCUAAUAUUAGUUAGCAGAAUUGAAAAAAUUAGAUAAAGUUAAGACUAUAGCUCUACUGACUAUGGAAGCUACAAAACAUCGACGUAAGAGUUAUUAUGAUAGUAAAUUACAUCCCAAGUUGUUUCUGUUCAAUGAUCUAAUGCUUCUUUAUGAUAGUAGAUUUAAUAAUUUUUUAAGAAAAUUUUAAAUCUGUUGAUAUAGAUUGCAUCAUGUAGUAGAAUAUUUUUCUAAUAGAUCUGUUCAAUUGGAAGUUUUUAUAGGUACCUAAUUUAUCACAUGUAUCAACGAAAAUAGAUUAUGACUUUUUUAUACGUAAACGUGAGAUGGAUUUUAAAAAUUAGAAGGAGAAAGGCUUAUUUGUUAAUGAUAGAUUGUCUAUAACUAUAGGUAUAUAUUGAAGUAAAGACGGAUGAUGGUUAGUUUUAAAUAUUAAUAUUGACUAGUAAGAAAAUUAGAAGUAAAAUUAUAAUCAAUAAAAUUAAGGAUUCUUGAUCCAUAUUUGAAUAAAAGAUUAGGAGGGGAACACUUAGUGGCAGUAUCUUCAACAUUUUAUACAUUAUUAUUUGGAGCAUAUUAGCUUAAAAAAUAGAAUUUACUUCAACAAGUAAGAGUGUAGUAUUAGUACAAGCUAGGAGUGAAAAGUAAGUAUUGUACAAUGUCGAUGGAAAGAGAAAAGCAAGCUACAGACAGAGAAGAAAGAAGACAAAAUGUGACCUAAGACUAAUUUGGAGUCGUUGUCCUUAGUAGUUCUCACUAAUAUGGAACCAAUGAAGUUGGAAUUCUAUUGAAAUGCAAAAAAGUAGAGAAAUUUUAGAAAUGUGUAGUUAUAUGUAUUUUUGUGAGGGUCUGAUAACUUGUCAUCAAUUGAUGCAGAAUUAUUGGAAGAAUAUAUAUUCAAUUAUGACUUAAAGGAUGGUUUGAAUGUAAUGAAGGAGAGAAUUAUUGGGAUUGACGAGACUACCUUGCAAAAGGGAUUGCAUCUCCUAAUUAGUGAGCUUGUACUAGGUGCUAAAGUAUCUAGCGAUUUCAGACCAGAAAGCUAUUUCAAAGGUAGAAUGUCCUUAUUUGAGAGGAAUCAAGGUUGGCAAAUGGUGGAAGCACUUAUAUUACAGCUUAUAGAGUAGAUGCAUUUUGUUCAGAAUCAUUUAGACUUAAAUCAAUACACCACGUACUUAUCCAAAUAAUUACUGUUUACUAUGGUGUCAUACUGUAAAAGCUUAUAGUAUGUAAAAAUUAGUUAAAGUAUAUUAUAUGUUAAUAAAUCUAGAUGUAUAUUAGAAUAAUUAAUAGAUUAAUUUAAAGAGAGUGGAUUUAAGAAACUUUAUUUUGAAUUUUAUCUUUUUUAUUUAGAGCAUUUCAAAAAAAUUAUAAGACUUAAAUAUUUAGUAUGAAGCCUUAAGAAGAGAUUAGAGCCUAAAGAAGAAAAUCUUAACUAGUAGGAGCUUACUGGGAAGGAUGAAAAUAAGGCAUGAUUGGAUAAAGGCAAGGAAUGGGGAUCUUCAUUCCUAUUGGUCGAAGGCCAUGCCCAAUGGGCUUCAAAGAGGCUGCCUAAGGCCUUAUUAGGGAUUAUGGUUUCUCUUUUGAAGUCAUUCAGGAAUUAGAAGCUAAGGUUGUAAGGAUUAGGAUUUGGACUACAAUUUGUGUAUAAAAAUUAGAGGAUUUGGAAUUAAGGUGAAGAAGUUAUAGAUGUUUGAAAUUAAGGUAUUAAUUUAAGACAUAUUGUUACUCUUUUGUAAAUACGAGGAGUUUUAUGGCAAUUUUUGAAGAUCAAAAGAUGCGGCUAGAAUGGCAAUUUUAAUGCCUACAUUUUUUUAUAAAAAAAUUGUUUCUUUUAGAGUUUAUAUAAAGGAGAUAUAAGGAGUUAAAGGCGACACUUCCAAAUCAAAGGCACUAAUUGAGUGGUUUUAUUCAUAGUAAUAGUUGGAGUCAUAUCUUGAGUUUCUAGAAGUAUUUUUUGUUCAAAACUUUUGAAGAAGGUAGAUAAUUGUGUUAAAAAUCUAUAUAUACAAACCUUGUGGUAUUUAGAUGUUUAUUUUGAGAGAUAUGAAGAAAAGUACACAUGGGUGUAUAAAGACAAGGGUUUGAAGUGAUUGUUAGAAUUUUCAAGAUAUCUCAAGAUCUGCAAUGAAUUUGUAGUUGAGAUUUGUUGUAGAACUUGAUAAGAAUAUAUUAGUACUUCAUGUAAAAUUUGAGUAAGUUUGGACAGUUGGAUCAUGAGUUAUAAGGUAUUGAAGUUUGGAAAAAUUUCUCCAUAAGGGUAUACAAGGAUUUAGAGGAUUUUAUCAUACUUUGGAUGUUAUUGGUUACUUGAGGCUUAUGUAUCUGGUGUAAUUAUUCUAAAAAGAAAAUUUUAUAUAUAAAAUUAAGGCUUUCUUUAUUUUGAAGCUUGAUUGAGCAAUUAGUGACAAUCAAGAGUAGAGUGCUUUCUUGAGGCAAACUCUCUCUAUUCUAAUAUAUUAGUGCUUCCACUAAGGGAGCUUUAAGGCACUAAUUAUCUCAACAAGUUAAGAUGGGGGAUCAAAUCCUUGGAUUUACAUUAUUAGGUGAGGUAGGUGCCUAUGAUUUAUUUAGGACAUUUGUUCAAUUUAUAGAAGAAAGACAAUAGGUAUAUGGGGAGGAUAGGAAUACCACCAAAGCUUUAUAAGUAGUGGUAGAUAAAAUUGGAAGGUUUGAUUGAAAGAACAUCACUAAGUUCCUUAAGUUUUAUAAAUAUGAAAUGGAAGUGCAUCAAGUUUCAAAAAUGAAGAUGAUUACUACCUUUGAUUUGGCAGUGGUACCAAAAAAUGAGAGAGACGGUACAAGAGUUGCAUACUGAGACUAUGUCAUAGAAGAAAUUUGAAGAACUCUUGAAAGAUGAAUUUUUUAAAGAAGACUCAGAAAGAAUGAAAAAAAAAACUUUUUUAGAAUAUAUUGAAAAAAGGCUAGGAAAUCAAAUGGCUCCAAAUGAAUUAAUUAGGAAAUUUGAGACUAAGUUUAGGCAAUUACCUUAGUAAGAGAGGCAACUCUUGAAAACAAAGAAAACUAGAUUAUUCUUACAAGUAGUUGAUGAAUACUUAGAGGACAAGUUGCUCUUUUAUCUAGCAGACAAGACAUGUGAGAGUGGUUUUAUAAAUAAUUGGAAGCUAGUAAAAGAGACAGUGGGACUUUUGGCCAAAUAAUAGAAAAUUAAGACUUGUGAUUUAAUAUCAAGGUUGGAAUCAGUGCCUACAUCUCAGAAUCAAGUGCCACCUUAAAAAGUGAUCAAGACUAUCAAGGAUUGUACUCUUGAAGAAUUGAUCAAGGGCACAAAAGAUUUGAAGGUCAAAAUGAUUGAGUUGAAGAAAUCUCAGAUAACAAAUUCAAAAAAGAUAAUUGAAGGCUCAAAGGGAUUUGUAGAAAGAUGUAUGUGCUGUGACAAUCCAAAUCACAAGCAUGGUGAGUGUGAUAACUACAAAGGUGCAAUCAAGGAUGAUAUUGUAUAUUUCAAAGAGGGCAAGAUAAAACUCAUAGGAUCAAAUGAGCCUCUUAAGACUAAUUUUAAGAAGGGUGGCAUGAUAAAAUUGAUAGAAGAGUAAAUAUUAAAGAAUAAUAUUAUACAAACAGAAAGAGCAGAGUCUUACUCUAUUAUAAUUGAACAAAAAGCAGUUAAGGCUAAUUUCCUAUGAACUAUAGGAGUCAUAAUCAAGAGAGCUGAAGCUAUCAAAAAAAUGAUUGGGUGGAAUGAUUUAGUUGAUAUUAUUAGUAUUAAAGCAUAUUUAUGUAGGAACAAACAUGAUGAUGAUUUGCAUGAUGCCAUGGUUGAAGAAAAAAGAGGUAGAGCUAUUUAUGAAGAAGAUGUUAUUGAGCUUGAAAACAAAAAAAGAUCUGUAAGUAACAAAGAAGCUUAUGAAGAACAAAAGCUAGAGAAGGUGCCUUCUUUUACUGACCUUGGAGAUAUAUCAAUACCAAAGGAAUGGUGGAAGAAGGACAAAGAAAAGAAGAAAGAUGACACAUAGAAAUCCAAAGUUGAAACUAUUAUGGUAGAAGCAUUGAAUACUCACACAAUGAAAGAAGAAAAAGAAAAAACUAACUAAGUAUUUAUUCUCAUGUGUGAUCCUAUGAUUAAUGAUGGUCAUAAAGAAGAACAAAAAAUUGAAUCUAAUGAGGUUCAAGAAGAAAAAGUUGAAGAAAUAGAAGAAUUUUUGAAUAAAGAAAUCAAAGAUGAAGUUUUAUAAAUAUUUGUUAGAAUAAAUAUGAGUAAUAAGAAGGUUGUUAGGGAUAUUAUGGUAGAGGCAUUGGAUACUCACACAAUGAAUCCAAUAUGUAUCCAAAAUUAAGGUAUAAUUAUUCCUAAAAAUAUUCUAUAUAUAUAUAUAUAUAUAUAUAUACAAACUUGGUCUUUCUUAUUUCAAGACUUGAUUGAGCAAUUAGUAGUAGCCAUCAGCCUAGUGCUUACUUGAGGCAAACUCUCUCUACUCUGAAAAUGGUAGGAAUACUUGAAGAAAUGGUGUUUAAUUGGGCAACCUUUGUAAGAACUAGAAUCUAUGUCAAGAUGGGAGUCAAGCACAAGACAAAGAAAUUUGUAUCGUUUCUGUACUCCAAUUAUGUACAUUCUAUGAUUGUGUAUACAUUAAGUCAAACACCGCCAACAAAGAAGAAAAAUAUAUCCUCUCCAAUAUUUGAAUAAGGUAUUUGGAGUUUAAUGGCAUUGACAAUUAGUUCGGAGGUCAUAGUGCAUGAAAUAGGGGAGUCGAGUAAUUCAAUGAAAUAGAAGGCUUAUUAAGAAAAUAAGUACUUAGAAGACACAACACUUAGUAUCAGCAAGGUUGCACACAAAGAGAGUAUGGAGUAAGAUGUUUCUCACUUCUAACACCCAUUACUUAUAGGUGGUAGUUGGUGCCCUAAAAGACAACGUCCACUCUUUGACUUUUACACACAUGGCCUUAGGAUCCUUUUGGCAUCUCAUGAAUCCCAAGAGUAUCUUAUAUCCAAUGUUAAUUAUUCUUACGUCUUACACACAUGCUCUUAGGAUCUUUUGGCAUCUCACAAACUUCAAGGGUAUCCUAUGAUACGUACUAAUGACUCAUACUUAGUCUUUGGAUAUUCCCUUAUUAAUAAUUUAUCCUUUUGACUUUGACUCUUGAUCCAUGACUUCGUCCUAUAUCCAUUGGAUGUCCUUACCAUAUACCAAGAGUCAAACCUUUGACCACUAGUAACUAACCUAAGGUAAUAUCCUAUACAAGGUAGUAUUUUCUAUUUUUAUUUUAACACUCUCACUUUGCUAUUGGUCAAAUACCUUUUAAGCCUAAUGCCUUUGUCAACAUGUGGUGUCUAUCCUUUACUAAUGCCUUUGUCAACAAAUCAGCAAGCAUGUCUUCCGUUGCACAAUACUUCAUAUCAAUCAUUCCGAUUUCAAUCUUCUCUCUUAUAAAGUGAUAUUGAAUGUCAAUGUGCUUGGUCCUUGAAUGAUGCUUUGGAUUCUUUGUAAAUGCAAGACAUCCUUGAUUGUCACACUCCAUUAGAAUUGCUUCUAUUUGUACAUCUCUAAUGUCCUCUAAAAAUUGUCUUAACCAUAUUGCCUCCAUUGCACCAUGGCUUGCUGCCAUAUACUCCGCUUCGAUUAUUUAUCUUGCAAUUGUUGGUUGUCUCUUGUAAUUCCAUGAAAUUGCUCCUACUCCAACAAAGAAUAUAUACCCCAUUGUGGACCUUCUAUCAUUUACAUCUCCACUCUAAUCUGCAUCACAAUAACCAUGCAAACUAAUGUUUUCAUCUCCAAGGCAUAAUUUGAAGUUCAAAGUCCUUUUUAAGUACCUCAUGAUCUUUUUGAUGGUUGUCCAAUGGAUUGGUUCAGCCCUUGACAUGUGUUGACUCAGAACACUCACCACAUAUGCAAGAUCUACCCUUGUAUCAACCAUUGCAUACAUAAAUGAGCUUACUACUGCCUUGUAUAGAACACCUUAUAUUUGACCUUCAACUUCAGCAAACUCUUCAUCCGUGAGCUUCAUCAACUUCAAGUUUGCCUCCAAUGGUGUUCCAAUAGGCUUACACUCUUCCAUGUUGAAUCAUUUCAAUACUUCUUCAAUGUACUUGCUUUGGCUCAUUUUAAUGGUCUUCUUAGCACGAUCUCUUACAAACUCUAUUCCUAAACAAUAGUGAAGCUCUCCCAAAUCACUCAUUUCAUACUCCUUUUCUAACUUUGCCUUCAAUUAAUCCAUCAUAAACAAGGUAUUGUUUGCCUUAUUCAAAACCUAUCCUUGAGAUUGAUCCAUGUAGAUGUCUUUUUUCAAACUUCCAUUCAAGAAAGCCGUCUUCACAUCCAUUUGAUGCAUCUCCAAAUCCAUUGCUGCCCCAAUUGCCACAAUGAUUCUAAUAGUGGUGAAUUUGGCCACGGGAGCAAAUGUCUCAUUGAAAUCUACACUAGCAACUUGUGAAUAGCCUUUGACAACCAAUCUAGACUUGCAUCUUACAGUAUUGCCCAUUGUAUCCCUUUUGGUUCUAAACACCCACUUACAAUCAAUUGAAGAUCGAUUUGAUAGAAGUUGAGUCAAUUUCCAUGUUCCAUUGUCCAUGAGUGAUUUAUAUUCUUCUUCCAUAGCAUUCUCCCACUUCAAUGCAUCCGUGGACUUCAUUGUAUCACAUAAACUCAACGGAUCAGUAAGAAGUGCAAUAUUGACAUGUUCUUCACUGACUUGACGAAAGAUGUGGUCCUUCUACCAUUCACCACGUCGUUUUCUUUCUUUCAAAGGAUAUCUCCUUUCAUUUGAAAAAGACCCUUCUUCUUGCAUUCCAUCCUUCUUCUUCAUCAAUACUUAUCUUUUCUCCUUCAAAGGUUGAUAUUCUUCAUCAUCAUCAUCACCUUCAAUAUCUUCAUUGUCUUCAUUGUUGAUUCUAGCAAUUGAAGGCACUCUAUGAUUUACCUUCUUUGGCACUUGAUCUUGACUUCUAUUUCCUCGAUCCUCAUUGUCAUCUUCAUCUUCUUCUUCUUUUUUCUUUACUAAACUUGAAGAUGUGUCCACAAAUACACCUUUACUCCCACUUGGACACUCUUCUAAGUGCUCAAAAGCAUUCUUAUGCUCCAAAAACUCUACAUUAUGACUUUUGAUGAUCUUCUUGGUUUCUAAACAUAUUAGCCUAUAUGCUUUGGUACCUUCAUAAUAUCCAACAAAUACACAUUUUGUACCUUUUGUAUCAAGUUUGGACCUCAUAUAAUCUGGUACCUUUGCAUAAGGAAUGCAUCCAAAAAUUCUCAUGUGAGAAACACAAGGUUUCUUCUCACUUCAAGCUUCUUGUGGAGUCAUUGAUAUAAGUACACUUGUAAGGCACCUAUUCCUUGUGUACACUGCAUUUAUCACAGCUUCCGCCCAAUACUCAUGUCCAAGAUUUUGUAUAUAAAGCAUACUCCUUGCUAUCUUCACAAUGGUAUGAUUUACUCUUUCAGCAACUCCAUUUUUUUGUGGAGUGUAAGGAGUAGAGGUUUGUCUUACAAUACCUUGAAUCUUCAUUAAGUCAUCAAAAUACUUUGACAUGUAUUCACUUCCAUUGUUUGUUCUCAACACUUUGAUCUUGCACUCACAUUGUUUUUCUAUGAGAGCCUUAAAUUCCUUAAACUUUGAGAAACAUUCACUCUUAGCUUUAAUGAUGUAAAUCCACACCUUUCUUGAGAAAUCAUCAAUGAAUGUAACAAAGUACCUUACUCUUCUAAUUGAUGGUAUCUUCAUUGGUCCACAAACAUCUCAGUGCACAAUCUCCAACAAUUUUAUUGCACGUUGUCGUAUUAUGUACUUUCCUACUCAAGAACGCGCCGGGCAUUUGGUGUCAUGGACAUACAUUGGAAGAUUCUUCGAAUAUUCUUCUAGAAUAUUCUCUAAAGAUUCCUUUAGAAGGUUCUAGAAGAUUCUUAGAAUAUUCCCUAAAGAUUCUCUUAGAAGGUUCUAGAAUAUUCUUAGAAGGUUCUAGAAUAUUCUGAUAGAUUCUAGGAAGUUGCUCGAGAAGUUUCCUAAUUAGUAGAAGUUGUUGGAGAAGCGUCCUAGUUAGCGGAAGUAGCUCGAGAAGCUUCCUAUUCAGUAGUAUAUAUAGGAGUCGAGGCUGAAGGGUUCUUCAGUCUCGACAACACAUCUCUUGGAGUUCUAGCUCACCUUUCUGGUAUUGUUCUUGUACUCAUCUGUUUAAUCUAGUUCUGCCACUUCUUCUUGAACUUCUUGUUAGAUUUCAAGUCUGUAUUUUGUGUCCGUGACAGUUUGUCGAGACUGCAUUUUCACUGGUAUCAGAGCUAGUUCCUUCUUGUUAGAGAGUGGAUUACCCCUCUUCUUGAAGGUGUGCUAGUGUUUUAGAGGUUGCGGAUUACCCUCCUCUAAACUGAUAUCUCUUCUUUCUCAAUAUUGGAGCCUUAUUCUUCUUGGAGAGAGUGGAUUACCCCUCAUCUUGGAGUCUUAAGGCGUUUUAGAGGUUGCAGAGUACUCUCCUCUGAACCAAUAUUGUCCUCUUGUCCUAACUCUUUUUUCUUCUUUUUGAAGGUUAGCCGAAGGUUAAGACGUUAAAAUGGCUGAAAGUUUGGAAUCCAAACUAGACGCCAUCAUAAAUGCUCUUGCCUCAUUGUCACAUAGGACAACAGAGAUCGAAGGAGUCAUGGUAGGACUCCAUAACAAUGGAGCAUCUGGGAUAGCGCCAUCUAAAGCAUAUCAGCCUCAAACUUCUGCGCCAGAAGAAGCAGUUCUACCUCCAUUUCAACAAGAUCGAGUAGUCCUACAACGAAAGGAGCCUCGAGUUAGUCUUCCGGAUAAGUUUGAUGGAACUCGUUCCAAGUUUCGAGGUUUUCUCAACCAAAUCAGCUUGAUAACAAUUUUACAGCCCGAACGUUAUCCGACGGAGGAAGCGCGUGUUGGGCUUGUUGGAACCUUGCUUACAGCACAAGCUCUGUCUUGGUUUACUCCCUUGUUCGAGAAGCGAUCGCCAAUCCUGAGCAACUUUGAAACGUUCUUGGAGGCGUUUGCAGAAGCAUUUGGCGAGCAUGAUAAAGUUCGAUGGGCUACAACAAAGAUCCGAUCGCUACGACAAGGAACACGCUCUGCAUCAGUCUAUGCCUCGGAUUUCAGACAAUUGGCAAGUGACAUUAAUUGGGGUGAAGAGGCGUUGGUGAGUCAGUUUUAUUGGGGCUUGAAGGAUGAUGUGAAGGACUUGCUGUUAUCUCUUCCUGAUCCUCAAACGCUCAACGAAGCUAUUAGCCAAGCUGUAAAGUGUGACAACCGCCUAUUCCAGCGUCGCCAAGACCAACGUCCGAGACACCAAAUGACUCGUUACGACGUGACUAUGUCUGCAAAUAGCUUAAACUCACAUUCGGAGGCAACAGACAUGCAAAUCGACAUGGCGCGUGUCCGAUCUCUUACUCCAACAGAGAAGAAACGGCGUAUGGAGGAAGGGUUAUGUUUGUACUGUGGAGAAGAAGGUCACAAGGUUGGAAAUUGCCCAAAGAAGCAAAAUUAGCACCCUGUCAAGACUAGAAGUGCGAUGAUUCCGGAAAACGACGAUGCCCAGCCACAGUAGGAACCGUGCGGCUGGACAAUCUAAUAUCACGACAACAAUCAAGUUCCUCCUUCUCUGUCCAACCUGCCCGUUGUUUUACAAUUCCUUUGUUUUUAGGCCCUCAAAAACAAAAAACUUUAGCUUUAUUGGAUUCGGGGGCAUCUACUUGUUUUUUAGAUGAAGAGUUUGCUAAACGCCACAAGAUCCGUUUAGUACAGAAGUCCAAACCUGUUCACGUAGAGGUGAUAGAUGGACGAUCCUUAUUGUCAGGCAACGUUACCCACGAAUCAGAACCUAUAGAAGUGGUGUUUAAGGACCAUAGUAGUCACGUUAUUUUUAAUAUUAUUAGAACCCCAUCAAGCCCUGUUAUCCUUGGUCUUUCUUGGUUAGAAGAUCAUAAUUCGUCCAUUGAUUGGAGGCUACGAAGGAUAACAUUUCCUGAAAAAAAUAAUAAUAAACCUGUUGGUAGAACCUACAUGAAGAAAUCCAUGUUUAUUGGAGCGAGAGCAUUCCUAAGAUCGUCCAAGGAAGGCGCACCAUUUGUAAUUUAUGCAGCUUCAACUAGCGGCGAGAAUAUCUCAACAUCGAAUAUACCAGAGCAAUAUAGGGAUUUUGAAGACAUGUUUCAGAAAAAGAACGCCGAUAUACUGCCGGAACAUCGACCAUAUGAUUGCGCCAUAGACUUAGAGGAAGGAGCGCAACCACCUUUUGGUCCAAUAUACAACCUAUCGCAGACGGAGUUGGCAGAAUUGCGGAAGUAUAUCGAUGAGAAUCUAGCCAAGAAUUUUAUUCGACAUUCAAAGUCGCUAGCUGAAGCACCAAUCUUAUUCGUGAAGAAAAAGGAUGGCUCACUCCGGAUGUGCGUGGACUACCGAGGACUCAACAAGGUGACCAAGAAAAAUCGCUAUUUCUUACCUUUGAUCUCCGGCCUCUUAGAUCAACUUGGACGUGCAAGGAUUUUUACAAAGAUUGAUUUAAGAGGAGCCUACAACCUUGUGCGAAUCAAAGAAGGAGAUGAAUGGAAGACAGCCUUUCGUACAAGGUAUGGCCAUUUUGAGUACAAUGUCAUGCCUUUUGGUCUUGCCAAUGCUCCAGCGGUCUUUCAGCAUAUGAUGAACGACAUCUUUAGGGAGUACCUCGAUGACUUUGUUGUCAUCUAUCUGGAUGAUAUUUUGAUAUUUUCCAAGAAUGAAGAAGAACAUGAGAAGCACGUUUGUUUGGUUCUUGAAAAACUACGCGAACGAGGACUCUACGCCAAGUUGGAAAAGUGUCAAUUUCACCAGAAUGAGAUGGAAUUUUUGGGCUUCAUUGCGACUACAAAGGGCUUGAAGAUGGAUCCAAAAAAGGUAGAAGCAAUUAUAUCUUGGGAAGUUCUGAAGACGGUUAGAGAUGUUCAGUGUUUUCUUGGAUUUGCUAACUUCUAUCGGAUCUUCAUCAAGAAUUAUUCUCAAGUUGCUGCACCACUCACGCGUCUAACAAGCAAAGACAAGCUCGAAUGGGGAUCACAAGCAGCAAAAGCAUUUCAAGAUCUCAAGACGGCAUUCACUACGGCUCCAAUCUUGGUACACCCUGACUUUGCAAAGGCUUUCUAUUUAGAGACCGAUGCUUCAGAUUUUGCUUUGGGAGCUGUGCUUUCACAGAUGGGCAUAGACAAGAAGCUUCACCCAGUUGCGUUCUAUUCACGAAAGUUCUCUGCUGCUGAGAUCAACUACGAGAUCCACGACAAAGAGCUGCUUGCUAUAGUGGAUGCCUUCCAAGAGUGGCGUCACUUCCUCGAAGGAGCUGCACAUCCAGUGACUGUUUAUACUGACCACAAGAAUUUGGAGUACUUCAUGACAGCUCGAAUUUUGAAUCAUCGUCAAGCUCGAUGGAAUAUGUCUCUAUCACGAUUUGACUUUAUUAUCACCUACCGCCCUGGAAAACAGCAAGGAUUAUCUGACGCAUUAUCGAGGAGAUCGUAUCUUGCGCCAAAGGCUGGAGAAGCAGCGUUUGAUCAACAAUGUACAACAUUGUUGAAAUCAGAAAAAUUCAGGAUUUUUGCUACUGUUGCAACUAUCGAUGACGGCUUCCUCAGCGAGGUACAUACUGCGACCAUUGAGGAUUCUAUAGCUCUUGACAUCAAACAACGUGUCGAUAAUGACAAGUUUAAGGUGGAGGGAGAUCUUCUGUAUUUUGAGGAGCGGUUGUAUAUCCCGAAAGGACCAACUCGACUCCGAGUACUUCAAUCUCGCCACGACUUUCCAGCUGCGGGACAUUUUGGAUUCAACAAGACUUUGGAGCUCAUUUCACAAGAUUUUUGGUGGCCCCAAAUGUGGAAGGAUGUGAAGGAAUUUGUCCUUUCUUGUGAUGUUUGUUCAAGAUCCAAGAUCCCUCGACAUCGUCCGUAUGGACUUCUCCAGCCAUUGCCUAUUCCGCACCGACCAUGGUCUUCAGUUUCUAUGGACUUCAUUACGGACCUACCGCCAUCGAAUUCAUUUGACAGCAUCUUUGUUGUGGUGGAUCGAUUUACAAAGAUGGCGCAUUUCGUGCCUUGCAAGAAAACAUCGUCAAGUGAAGACACCGCAAGACUCUUUCUUGAUAACAUAUAUCGUUAUCAUGGCCUACCAGAUGAUAUCGUGUCGGAUCGAGGUACUCAGUUUGUAUCCAAGUUUUGGAGGUCCCUCUUUGAGAUAUUGAAGGUGGAUAUUAAGCUCUCUUCGGCUUUUCAUCCUCAAACUGACGGUCAAACGGAGCGGGUGAAUCAAGUUUUGGAGCAAUAUUUACGAUGUAGCAUCAACUAUCAACAAGAUGAUUGGACUGCAUAUCUACCGCUUGCUGAGUUCGCAUACAACAACACUCUUCAUGCGUCAACUCAACAAACACCAUUCUUCUCCAACUACGGAUACCACCCCAAGCUCGAUUUAUUGAGUUCUUCAGCAAAUAACAACCCAGCAGCUGAAGGAUUUGUGAAGCAACUAUCGGAGCUUCAAGCGACGUUGAAGCUUCAAUUGCAAUCUGCCCAAGAGAGUUACAAGGCAUCUGCAGAUAAAUAUCGAAAUGAGGCGCCUACUUUUAAAGUUGGAAGUAAAGUAUGGCUUCUUCGACGGAAUAUCAAGACCAAGUGGCCAUGUGACAAAUUGGACUAUCGGAGAUUAGGGCCAUUUGUUAUCGAGAAGCAGAUCAAUCCGGUGGCAUAUCGUUUGGAGUUAUCAGCUACUAUGAAGGUACAUCCAGUCUUUCACGUGUCUUUGUUGGAACCUUAUCGAGAGUCAGCUUUUCCCCAAAGAGUACAAAGUCCGCCACCAAGUAUCGAAAUUGAAAACCAUGAGGAAUACGAGGUGGAAAAGGUACUAGAUUCACGGCGUAAUAGGAGAAAAUUGGAGUAUUUAGUGCAUUGGAGUGGAUACGACAUCAAUGAACGAACGUGAGAGCGUGCCAAAAAUCUUGCCAAUGCACCAAAAAAGGUACAAGAAUUUCAUCAACGAUAUCCUCAUAAACCUAAGCCGAUUCAAUGAUAGCUUCUUGUUGAAGCUUGCUCAUCAAGUAGCAUAAAAAGGGGGGAGGGCACCUCCAAAACCCAUAGUUCGAUAGUGUAGAACUUUGUUAGCAACUAUAGUUUGCUCUCAUCAUUUUAGCCUUUGGACAUGGAUAGUCAAGAUACUACACUUGUUAUGUCAUCUCAAGUGACUAGCUCACGAAGACAACCGCGAGAUGAAGAACCGCCUGCACCACGACGACGUCGGAGGAUACCGAGCAACAGAUCGCUAGUAAUUGUAUUUGAGGUCGAGCCUGCCUACGACGGUCAGCCAGAAGGUGUGUUUGGAGGACAGUUUCACAAUGAAGACAUAGAAGUCCACGCUUGGUCAGAGGUUGAAGGUGUUGGUCACUACCGUUGGCUCCAAGGGCCGAUGAAUCAUUUGCCUCGCGAACAACAAUUGGAAUUCAUAGCGGAUGUGAUGCGAUAGAUUUUCAUUUUCUUGCGUUGGUAUUGACUGAUAACAACAUUGCUUCUCGGAGACCUCGAAGUUAGAAGAGGAGGUGAUGUCAUGGACAUACAUUGGAAGAUUCUUCGAAUAUUCUUCUAGAAUAUUCUCUAAAGAUUCUCUAAAGAUUCCUUUAGAGGGUUCUAGAAGAUUCUUAGAAUAUUCUCUAAAGAUUCUCUUAGAAGGUUCUAGAAUAUUCUUAGAAGGUUCUAGAAUAUUCUGAUAGAUUCUAGGAAGUUGCACGAGAAGUUUCCUAAUUAGUAGAAGUUGUUGGAGAAGCGUCCUAGUUAGCGGAAGUAGCUCAAGAAGCUUCCUAUUCAGUAGUAUAUAUAGGAGUCGAGGCUGAAGGGUUCUUCAGUCUCGACAACACAUCUCUUGGAGUUCUAGCUCACCUUUCUGGUAUUGUUCUUGUACUCAUCUGUUUAAUCUAGUUCUGCCACUUCUUCUUGAACUUCUUGUUAGAUUUCAAGUCUGUAUUUUGUGUCCGUGACAUUUGGCUGUAGAAGGUAGUAUGGAGAUUCGCCAAUAGUCAAGCAGUCUAUCAGUUUUUGACUGCUGGAAUAUAAAUGACUGCAAGAAUAUACCAUAACUCUAUACGGAUGCCCUUCAACUGCUUGUCGAAGGUCUUUUUGCCCCAGCCAGUAGGUCUCUAGACGUUACAGAGAACCCCGAACAAUCCAAUCUGCUAAUCUCCGAUACCGCUUUGUACUUACGAUCUUGUAUCCACUGACUGUCUUGUUAGAUUAACCCAAUAAAUUUCAUUCACUCCACAUACCCAAUCCUAUAGACACCCUUUUAAUCCUUCAAUCACAGACGUAACUCGAUUUUACAAAACAGUCAAGAGUAAUCAAACCCACUUCAUUAAAAAAUCCUGAUUCACCAUUACAACACUGACUUCAGCAACGAUUGCCUCAGUCUGCCUAAAACUCUAUGAAGAACAAAAUCCAAUUCUCCGUCUUUUCUUCCCUGACCCGAAGCAUGAAGCUCUUCUCCAAUCCCCUUGACCUUCAAAAAAAAAACCUCCAAUGAAAACCGAACUAGUAACCGUGCAAAGAGCUUGAAGCUAGCUCUCCUUAUCUUCCCAAAAAAAAAAAACCCUCCCCACUGAUCUCAUUCUUCCCUUAACUUUAUCCUCUGAAUUUCUUCAAUCUUCCGACUUGGAUCAAAAAUUGGCUCCCAUCGUCAGAGCUUAGAUCCAAAAAUGGCUCCUGUCGUCAGAGCAUUUGAAACGGCACAGAGAAUAGGACAGCCUGAAAUAGAAUCGAAACCCCGUACUUGGGUCCACAUUGAGUCGCCCGACCAAUUCAGGUCUCACAUUGGGUAAGAUGCCCGUAGUAACCUGGAUUUUCUCGUAAUUAGACUACAUUGGAUUGCCCGACCAAUUCAGGUCUCAUAUUGGAUAAGAGUCCAGUAGUAAGACUCGGAUUUCCCCGUAAUUAGACUGCAUUGGGUUGCCCGACCAAUUCAAGUCUCAUAUUAGAUAAGAGGAUCCGGAUUGGAUUCUCGAAAUUGGAUUCAAUUGGCUCUUCGAACCAAGCUCACCCAUCACGUGAAUUGGUCCUUUCCCUUCUUGCUGACUCCCGUUAUUGGAAUCGAACGGAGGAUUUCAAUAUGCCCCGGCUGACUGUAACGGGGUGACUGAACCUGGCCACUCAGUAUUUGCACUGGAGUUGGUUGUUGCUCCCAAUAUUCGAGGUAACAGAAUAUUAAUAAAAGUCCCCUUUUUUUAUAUUUUCAUAGUAUACUCGUGUUACAACACGACAUCCACCCCCUCUGAAACUGUGCAUCCUCCGGUAUGCACCAAUUUACCCAAUUGCUGUUUGAUUCAGAAUAUAUCCUCUACCUCUUUGUCCUGUUCGUCUUCGUCACCUUCAUUAUCCAAAUCACUUUCAUCUUCUUGCUGCGGAAUCUCUAUACCUUCAUUAAAGUCUUCCAUAUUCAUCUCUGCAUGUCUUCGUUUAAAUAUUUUUACUUGCUUCCUUGCAAUUGGUAUUUUCAAUUUUGUACCAUCUAACUCCCGUAACGAGUAAGUCGCAUUAUCAUGAACAGUUGUUACUACAUAUGGUCCAAACUAACGUUUUGAAAAUUUCUGCAAAGUAUUAUGUUGAUUAUCCAGACUAUUGUCAUAAACAAGUACCCAGUCACCUUCCUCGAUUACUUUAGGUCUCAAUCGAUGUUGCUUAUCGAAUCGUGCCUUGUUUUGUAACCUUGUUCUUUUUAACCUUUCCAAUGCUAUCUGCACAUCUUCCGUUCUUUCCUCCAAUUGUCGAAUCCUAAUAGCCAGAAGUUCUUCUCUUGUCAAUCCAUCCUCCCGUGGUAGCAUACUCCAAGUAAGUACCUUUUCUUCAAUCGACAUAAUUAGUUUUCGACCUGUCAUAAGUUCUACUGGCAUAUAUCCUGUCACCGAACUAUGUGUUGUUCGAUCAGCCCAUAAUGCAAAUGACAAAAGCCGUGGCUACUCUUUAACUUUCCCAUUACAAGCUUUAACUAAUGCUUUCACAAUCGGUGGGUGACCGCGUUCGCUUUUUGCAUUUCCUUCUGGAUUAUUAGCAGUAGUCAGUGAUAGUUCAACUCCACAUCUUUCAAAGAACUUACGAGCUUCUUGUGCAUUUAAUUCUCCAUAAUCUGUAGUGAUUUUUCCUACGCAUCCGUAGCGGACAAUGACAUCUUCAAGCAAAAACCUACAAAUUCUCUCUGUAGAUUUUGUCCUUAAUGCUCUUCCUUCUACUUGAUUUGAUAAAUCUUCACGAGCUAAAACCAAAUAUCUCAUGUGCCAUAAUCCAACUGGCAUAAUAACCAAAUCAACAACCCAUUUAAAAAGAAUAGUCAAAGGAUACGUAGGAUGAAGACCAUCUCGAUGUCGGAUAUUAGAAUACGAUUGACAGAUUUCACAUGACUCUACAAAUGAGAGCACAUCUCGAUACAUAUUUUCCACCAAUAUCGUUCCUUGAGUUUAGCAAAAGUAGCCUAGAUUCCUCUAUGCCUUGCCUAUAAACUAUCAUGAAACUCCUUUAAUAAUUUUAGAUAUUCUUCCUUUUUACCUAUCACUCGUCGUGGCAUCCCAAUUCCUUUCUUUGGUCUCUUCCAUAAGAAUCCAUCUCGAAGCAAAAAUCCAUAUGCUUUUUUUCUUAUUUGUUUGAAUUUUUGUAUAGACCAAUUCCCCUGCUUAGUCAAGGUAUUCAAAUAAUGACCAAUAUCCAAUAAUUCUCCUUCUUAAGAUUCUUCAAGAAAUAGCUUGUCUUCUCUGUUGAGAUUUGAUAUUGAAUAGAACUUCAAUCCGACGUUAUCAAUGUCUUCAACCAUUUCGUCCUCCCUCUCGUAUCUUGCUCGAGAUAGCAUGUCUGCUACUAAAUUGUCCUUCCCAGUGAUAUGCUUAAAUUCUAGAUUUAGUGACUUAAUAUAAGCAAUCCAUCUCACAAUUGCAAUAUCUGGCGUUGAACAGUUAAUAAUCAUUCCAAGCAAUGGCAAGCAAUCUGUUUCAAUUACUACUACUGCCCCAAUCAAAUAGUCCUUUUCAGCUUUCAUAGCCGAAACGACUCCCCAAAGUUCUCUUUUAACUUGCGAAUAUGUACGCUGACGAAUACUUAAAACUUUAGCCCCAAAUCGAAUUGCAAAUCUAUUCCCAUUCGAAUCAUCUUGACCCACAGCCCAUCCAAUGGCAAUUGGACUAGCGUCUACAGUAAGAAUCACUGGUCUAUUGCACUUAUAAUCAACCUUCCUCAAUAUUGGAGGUGACAUCAAUAAUUUCUUCAAUCUUUGCAUUGCCUGAAUAUGCCUUUCUUCCCAUUUAAAUCAGUAACCCUUGCGUAACAGUUCAUAUAAUGGAUUCGCUAUGUGAGCAAAAUGAGGGAUCCAGAUUCGAUAAAAUACACAUGCACCUAAAAACCUACGAACCUUUGUUAAAGAAUCACAAUCCUCUUUCAUCCUUCCAAUUGCAUCAACUUUAGUCGGAUCUGGUUUUCUUCCAUAAGAUCCACAUAAAUGUCCAACAAUCACAACCUCUCGUACUCCAAAUACGGACUUCAUACCCGAUAAUGUAAGAUGAACUUCUCCAAGCCGAGUUAAAAUCUUUUCACAAUCUUCUAUAUGAUCAACAACAUAUUUUCGACAUCCCCUCGUAUCUAAAGUUUCAUCCUUGUCUCCUUCUCUGCACCCUUUUAUAGGAACAUCAUCCAGAAAAGGCAUAGUCUUUUCUGGAAUAAAAUCUCUCAAUACCUUAUUCAUCCCAUUCAUCAUAUGCGCAACUGAGUUGGUCGCGCCUUGAGGAAGAGUGCACAUUCUAACCAAUCCAAGUAGUGUCCUCAUUGUUGUCACAUCUCUACUUCCUUCGGCAAGUUGAAAUUGAUCAUAACUUGAAUACAAGUCACCCAUUGAAUAGAUCGCCCUUCCAGCAAACGCCUCAGCAAAUUCAUCCACAAUAGGUCCAAUUCCUACAUUCCUUACAGUUACUGCAUUUACCGGUUGCAUAUCUUGAAUAAACCGUAGUGACCCAUUCUUCUUAGGUACCGUAAACCAUCGACUAGAAUACGGCGCAAAUGAAGGUUCCAAUAUUUUCAUCUUUAUCUUUUCUUUUAAUAGUUCAACCAAUUUAGGUAAAUGUACCCUCGGUACUAGAAUCGGUCUUAGAUUCCAAGGUACAUGUAGUAAAGUGAAGAUAACCAUAGGUGUUAUAAUAUUUGGAUCCACACACCCAAUUUCAUGAGAUUCGAAGGCAAACGAUCUACCUUAUUUAGCCAACAUUUUUUUGAAGCAAGUAAUUUCCUUCGGUAAUAAAGAACCAUCAGAACCAAUCUUCAAUUCUUCAAAAGUCUCUUUAGUAAACUGAUGUCCAAUACUCAUUGGAUCUCUUAAACUUGCUUCUUUUGAUGCUUCUCCCAUUUGUUCUUUAGAAUCCUCUGGUAAUGGUCCGGCAACAGGCUUUACCUUCUUAUCUGCCGUUUUAUAUCUUGUCUCUACUGUGACUUCUGGUGCUUGAAAAGAUUCAAGUACAGUAUAAACCUCUCUUGAAUGAAUCUCAACAAUCUUAUCAUUAUCCCCUAAUCCAAUAGAUGUAAUCAAUUCCAAUGAAUCUUCCAGUCCAUUCUCUUCAUAAACACCUAAAAUCCUCUCAUCAUCUUGCAAUGUACCUAACUUGCAUAAUUGUCCUUCAAUAUCAUAUAAUCUUUUUCUUUCUUUUCUUUUAAAAUCAUCAACUUUCUUAUACAUAAUAUUUCCAUUCUCCAAUAUACCAAUAAGUCUCGCAUCAAAGGCACCUUUAUCUCGCGAGAGUACCUCCUCUUUUGUACCUCCAUAAUCUCGCUUUACAGUGGUACCUCCCCAAAAUCCUUAAAUCCUUCAACAAUCUUUGGCAAUGGUUUCUCCCUCAACCUAUCUCGAUUCCGUUCAUGGUUAGGAGGUACUGUUAGAAAUUGUACAACUUUCCUCCCAUCUUCGCUCCGUACUCUUACAUAAGCCAAAUCAUCGUCAAGUACUUUUGUUACCAUCAGUGUUGCCGUAAUAUAAGGUUGUCCUAAAAUCAAUGGAUAAGAUGUUGUAUCCUGAACAAAGAAAUGUUGCUCCGUCGCAACUUCCCCAAUCCGAAUUUUGACAUCUGGACAAGCUCCAUAUAAUUCGCCCCGUGUGUUAUUAGCUGCUUGAAUUGCCCAUCCAUAUUCCAUAUCAAUUGGCCAUUUUUGCUUCUUAUAAAGAUCUUUAGACAUGAGAUUUAUUUCUGAAUCAUGGUCGACUAAAGCAACAAUUGGUUCUUCUAUAUCUUCUACUUUUACCAAUACCUCAGUAGUUGCCCUUGCCCAAUGCUUUCGAGUAUAAUGGCUCAAAGUUUUCAUUUCCUUAUCACUAGAAUCUUCAAAACGCACUCGUUGAUUAUACCCAUUCUUUUCAUUUGUUGGUUGCUUGUAACCAAUAUCAACCUCUUCUUCAUCUCUAUAUAUUCUUACAUCAAUAGCAUGAUUCAUUCCAGUUUUGCCCAUUAAUUGCCUCUUUCGCUUAAUGCUGUCAAUGAUAACAUCAUGAAACUCCUUCUUUGCAAUUCUCAAAACUUCUUUCAAUGUGAAUUCCACCUUAGCAUUUAAUAUACGUUCUUCCAACACCCCUUUCAAAUUUGUUGUCGCUUCAAUGUCAGAAAGUAGCUUAUAAGCAAUUGAUUUGCCCUUAUCUUUUGUCUCCUUUGUUUUUUCUCCCAUUGAUGUUGAGGUAUCCUUUACAAGCAAUUCUUGUGAAGCUGCCUCCCGAGCCUUGUCUCCUCGAGUUUGCCUCUUAGAAGAAUUUCCUUCUCUAGUAUCAUCAAAAUUUCCUCGUCUCUUUUCUUCCAUCAAAGCUUCAUGUUGGCUCUUAGCAAUAUAUGCAUGAACUGAAAGAGACUCAACAGGAUCCUCCCAACCUGUUCUACCUCGUAUUGUAGCUGCAGUUCUCAAUAACGCUUCUCGAAGUAAUUUCCCUUCUUGCAUUGUAGAAACGGCAGAAGCCCAAAACUCACUAGUUUCCGUACUUCCACCAAUUUCAUCAUCUACUCUAGCACCAUAACUUGCACUUUCUCGUGCUGCUGUUUCAUGCUCUUUUAGGUAAUCUUGAACCAAUGCUCUCAUUCCUCCCUUGCCAAAAUUGGUUUGAAGAAGAUCCUCUCUAUUUUUCAAUGCUAUCUUCCCAUCUUUCCAGCAAAUAAUUCCUUGCCGUAUCAUAUUAUUAAAUUCAUUGCAAUCUUUUCUAGUGUGUGAAGCAUCAUCACACCAAAUGCAUCUUUGUACAUAUCCUUAUUUUGAAACAUUCUUCGAAUUGUUUAUAGAAGUAUUCUCUUCAAGUCUUGCCAAUUUGAUUUGAAGAUCUCGCAUUCCUCGUAUAAUUUCUUCCAUCCCCAUAUCUGCUUUCUUUGAUAAGAAUGUCGAAGGUUCAACUGUAGGCAUUGUUGGUGGUGUUGAACGUACUGGAGCUUUGGGUGCUUGUACUAUUUUCAGAAUAUUGCUCCUAUCCUUCCUCCUUUCUCUUUUUGUAAGCAACCCUACCGCAUCUUCAACGUUCUUCCACUUUUUUGUCAAUCCUUCAUCUUCUUCUUUGUCUUGAAGAAGGAAUUCUAAUUUCCCUUGCUAUUCUCGAUCAGCAGCUUGAAGAAAUAGAUCAACUUUGUUCGGCUCCAAUGUCAAUUUUUCUACCUUCGAUAAUUGAGAGUAUUGCCUCUCAAAUUCCCUUAGUAGCUCUGUUGCUUGUAAAUUCUUAUUGGGCCAUUCAAUCCAUUCCAGAAACAACUUCUUAGUAACGUGAUCAGCAUCUUCCAAGAAAUAUUCGUCUUUCAAUGCAUGUGAAAAAAUCUCCUAUGAAUUCCCAUAAUGAUCCGUAAUCAACGUAAUGUGGUCUCUUAUCUCCAGUAUCAUGGCAAGUCCAAAUAGUGCAACCAUUUUCUUCUUAGAAACCCGAUUUAAUUCCAUUUCAUGAAUAUAACAUCUUAAAAACGUCGAAAUAUUCCUCCCAUCAAAUUGAUCAAUUUCAUUGACCACUGCUUUCUAUGUUUUGGUUGCCAAAGCUUCGUUUCGAUCAUUGCUUUGCUGUUGCUGCAUUGACAAUGAGAAGGCUUGAAACAAACUAGCAAUAGAUGGAUCCAUGUGCAUAUCUUGUCCUUUAGAAGAAUCCCCACCAGAAACACCUCCCAGAAAUCCUUCAAAAGUUUUAUUUUCGUUUUCCAUAAAAUAAAGAUAAAAUCAACCGAAAUUCAAUACCUUCCACCUCAAGCUUUCACGUCGGGUUUACCACUUUUAUCGUAUUACGUGUUUUCCUGCUCGAGAACACGCCGGGCGUCUGGCUGUAGAAGGUAGUAUGGAGAUUCGCCAAUAGUCAAGCAAUCUAUCAGUUUUUGACUGCUAGAAUAUAAACGACUGCAAGAAUAUACCAUAACUCUAUACGGAUGCCCUUCAACUGCUUGUCGAAGUCCUUUUUGGCCCAGGCGGUAGGUCUCUAGACGUUACAGAGAACCCCGAACAACCCAAUCUGCUAAUCUCCAAUACCGCUUUAUACUUACGAUCUUGUAUCCACUGGCUGUCUUGUUAGAUUAACCCAAUAAAUUUCAUUCACUCCACAUACCCAAUCCUAUAGACACCCUUUUAACCCUUCAAUCACAGAUGUAACUCGAUUUUACAAAACAGUCAAGAGUAAUCAAACCCACUUCAUUAAAAAAUCCUGAUUCACCAUUACAACAUUGACUUCAGCAACGAUUGCCUAAGUCUUCCUAAAACUCUAUGAAGAAGAAAAUCCAAUUCUCCGUCUUUUCUUCCCUGACCCGAAGCAUGAAGCUCCUCUCCAAUCCCCUUGACCUUCAAAAAAAAAACCUCCAAUGAAAACCGAACUAGUAACCUUGCUAAGAACUUGAAGCUAACUCUCCUUAUCUUCCCAAAAAAAAAAAACCCUCCCCACUGAUCUCAUUCUUCCCUUAACCUUAUCCUCUGAAUUUCUUCAAUCUUCCGUCUUGGAUCCGGAAUUGGCUCCUAUCGUCAGAGCUUAGAUCCGAAAUUAGCUGCCGCCAUCAGAGCUUUCGAAAUGGCACAGAGAAUAGGAUAGCCUGAAAUAGAAUCGAAACCCCGUACUCAGGUCCACAUUGAGUCGCUCGACCAAUUCACGUCUCACAUUGGAUAAGAUGCCCGUAGUAACCUUGAUUUUUUCAUAAUUUGAUUGCAUUGGGUUAUCCGACCAAUUCAGGUCUCAUAUUGGAUAAGAGGACUCGGAUUGGAUUCUCGAAAUUGGAUUCAAUUGGCUCUUCGAACCAGGCUCACCCGUCGCGUGAAUUGGUCCUUUCCCUUUCUGCUAACUCCCAUUAUUGGAAUCAAACGGAGUAUUUGAGUAUGCCCCGGUUGAUUGUAACGGGGUGACUGAACCUGGCCACUCAGUAUUUGCACUGGAGUUGGUCAUUGCUCUGAAUAUUCGAGGUAAUUGAACAUUAAUAAAAGUCCCCUUUCUUUAUAUUUUCAUGGUAUACUUGUGUUACAACACGACAACGUGUUGCAACUCCAUUUAGAAAUGAAGCCCUUUGUUGUUUGCCUUGUAUACAUCUUUCACAAGCAAGUGUCAUGGCAUUGUCACUGAAUUGACCAAGAUCCAAGCCACUUACCAUAGAUUGGAGCUCAUUCAUGCAUUUGGCAUUCAAAUGACUAAGUCAUUGAUGCCAAAUUUCAAAUUUGUCUUGAUCUUGUGGAAAAUCAGCAAAUGCUGCCAUUUCAACUCCAUUCACCUUUUUGCAAUUGAUGAAGUAGAGAUUUCCAUCUCUAAGGUCUUUGGCAACAUGUUGGCUAUCCAAUGUCUUGACAAAACAUCCAUUCAUGUCAAAUUGAACCUUACAACCAUGUAAUACAAGUUUGCUCACUGAAAGGAGGUUCUUCUUCAUUUUUGAUACAUGUAGGACUUCUUUCAAUCUAAUCCUCUUAAUUUGGUCCUUUACAACAAUCUCUACUAUAAUGGAGCCAAUUCUAAUGGCUUGUACUAUGCCAUUGUCUCCCAACCACACUUUUAUUGCUGAAAUUUCUUCAUAAGUGUCAAAUGAACACUUGUAUGGUGUCAUGUGCUUAGCAACACGUGAAUCUAUAAUCCACUUUGACAUGGCAGCCAUGGAGGCUCCUUCCUUUGCCAUGAAAGUAUACUCAUCUCCACCAAAACUAUCACUAGCAUUGUUUGCAUUCUUCCUAUCUCUUUUCUUGGCCUUGUAGUAAUUUCUAGCAAAAUGACCUGGUUUUCCAUAAAUAUAGCAAUUCUUCAUAUCACUUUUUGAAUUAUCACAUUGGUGAGAAUAGCUACCUUUGCCUUGUCUUGAAAAUAGAGCCAAAUUAUCACUUGCAAGCUCCUUUUUUUUCCUCUUGGUCACUUCAUGAGCAAGUCUUGACGUGACAUAGUUCAUGAUAAGCUCUUUCAUGUUGAUGGAUUCCAAUGCCACAAUGAGGUAGUUGUAGGAUUCGAGAAGGCUUAUGAACAAUAUCAACGCAAUGUCCUUAUCAUCAACUAGUUUGUCAACAACUGCUAGUUAGUUAGUAAGUACUUUUAUCUUGUUAACAUGAGCCAUGAGGUCAUCUCCUUCUUCCAUCUUUACUGUCAAGAAUUUUCUCCUUGUCCAAAGGAUGUUGACAAGGUUUUUACUCUCAUAGAUAUUGCAAAGAGUCUUCCAUGCUUCCGCUGGUCUAUUGCAAGCUAUAACAUGUGAAAAGUUGGCAUCAUCAAGGUUUGUUGCAAUCAUUCCAAAAGCCUUCCUUUCAUGAUGUUUGUACUCCUUCUUCACUUUGAUAUUAGCAUUGUCACUUGGAGGAUCUUCACUUUCAUCAACAAUGUCCCUAAGGUCCAAUGAAGCUAACAAAAGUUCUCUUUUUUUCUUCCAAUGGUAAAAGUUGUCACCCCUAAACUUCUCAAUCACUCUCAAGCUCUCACCCUCACUUGAAGCCAUGUCUAAGGAAGGGAUGUGUGAAAGAAAAUCAAAAAAAGAAGUUAUAAAACUCUCAUAAUUAACAAAAAGGUGUUACUGUCUUAGAAACUCAGAAUGCUCUCUUUGUAAGUAAACAAGUGAUUUCACUCUUGUAUCACUCUCAACUUCACAAACAAGACUUCUCACAAGUCUUAUAUUCUAUCUGAACCUCUUGUAUAAGCUUUGCCACUCUUCAAUCACUCCUCUUUUCUCACAAAAUACUUCUAAUUUCACAAAAAAAAACUUCUUGUGAAAAUAGAACAAUCUCUUAAGAAGUUAAGUACAUGAAAGCACAAAGUUAGAACACCAAUGAUAAAUCUCAGUAAAGAAAUAUAACACUAGAGUUAUAAAACAUCAUUAUAUAGAGUCUAACAACAACAAAGAUUAUAAGUGCACUUAACAAUAAAUAAGAGCAAAAUUACAUCAACAACUAGAUGCAUAAGAAGGAUUAGAAGAUAACAAAUUCAAACUUCAGCAAUAAACAUAAGAUCUACUCCUUACAACAAGAAAGACUUCAAAGUACUUCAAAAGUCAUAAGUAAAGGUGAGUGGGCCCAUAACCUAUUAAGAAAACAAGUACUUAGAAGACACAACACUUAGCAUCAGCAAGGUUGCACACAAAGAGAAUAUGGAGUAAGAUGUCUUUCACUUCCAACACCCAUUACUUAUACGUGGUAGUUGCUGCCCUAAAAGACAACAUCCACUCUUUGACUUUUAUAUAUAUGGCCCUAGGAUCCUUUUGGCAUCUCAUGAGUCCCAAGAGUAUCCUAUGCCCAAUACUAAUUAUUCUUACGUCUUACACAUAUGCUCUUAGGAUCCUUUGGCAUCUCACAAACUUCGAGGAUAUCCUAUGACACAUACUAAUGACUCAUACUUAGUCUUUGGAUAUUUCCUUGUUAAUACUUUAUCUUUUCGACUUUGACUCUUGGUCCAUGACUUUGUCUUAUAUCCGUUGGAUGCCUUUACCAUAUAUCAAGAGUCAAAACCUUAUAAUAAUACUAAUUAAUACAAGGAAAUAAAUCUUAAGGAGGUUUUAUCUGCUCAUAUUUCUCAAUUGCAGCUCAUUGUAAGUAAAUUGGAUGGAGAAGGAAAUUUAAGGCAAUAAUUGGAGGCAAGAAAAAAAGAGUUAUUAGAGCAAAGCCAUAGAAUGAUGGAACAAGAUCGCAUGAUUAAAAAAAAUGUGGAAUUCAAGUUGUUAUUAGAGUAUAAAUUUGAAGAGAAAUAAAAAGCUUGAAAAAAAGAAAAAAAAAAUGCAUUCAACAUAUUGUGGAAGGCCAAAGGUAAGACCUAUUUCAGAUUUAUUUGACAUCAAUUUUGGAAUAGGAGAAGGCAAAGUAUCAGUUGAAAAUAGAACAAGAAAAGAUACCAUUAUUGGAAUAGAAAAAAUAAGAAUUAGAUGACGAAUUCCUUAGAAUUGAAAUAGAAGAGUUAAGAGUAGAAAUUGGAACUCUGAAAGAAUUAGUAAAAAAAUUAGAGGAUGAUUUAGCCAGUAUUGGUCAGUCACAUUUAUCUAUCUUGCCAGUUUUAAUAAUUGGUGAAUUAGAGAAGAAGGUGAGGCAACAACAACACCAGUAGGAAGCAAAUGAUGUCAAGAUUCUACAAUUGGAAGCUUAAGUUUGUAAAUUGGGAGCGUAUAAUGAAGAUUUAUUAGCCCAAUUAAAAAAAGAUCCAAUAAAAGUAUCAGAGGAGGACAAAGACUUAACAUUAGAACUAGAAUCUUUGGAACCAUUUAUGGACCAUGUUAGGAUUGAUCAAUCUAGUGAGCCUAGAUAGUAGUUUACGAGGAUGUUGCAUAGUUAAGAAUGGACUAUAUAGAAUAGGUAGGAUUUUUUUGUUUUAUACUACAUAAUAUGUAGGAUUAAAAAAAACUAAUAAAUUAAUGAAUGGAUAGUUUAGAAAGGAAGAUAGAUGAUUCAGUUAAAAAAAGUAGUUAUCAUCAUAUUGUAUAGUGGUUGGCAUUUUGAGGUAAGUAUAAGUAGGUUGAGGAAGAAGUAAUAGGGGCCAGAAUGUGAUACUUAUAAGCCUAGAUAAGUUUGGUGCUACUUCUUUCUUUCUUUGUAGUUGAAGAAUAAUAGAUAAUAUCUAAAUAAUAUAAAAUAAAAUUUUGGAAUAAAAAAAAGAUUUAAUGUUGUAUAUAAAGUAUGAAAUUUAUUAUAGAUGAAUAUAGUAUAAAAUUGUAAGUAGAUAAUUGGAUGUAUUGGUGGAGAAUGGAUAUAAAUGAGAGAAUUAUAAUACUAAGGUUUGAAAAGGAGUCUUUGGAGUCUAGAUUUGUGUGAAGAAGUAUAAAGAGAAUGAUAAUUAAAUGUAGAAGAUUUCAAUGAUUGGAUUACGAAGUAAUUAUAUGCUAUCUUUUAAGAUAGUAUAGUAUUAUAUAUCAUUGUCAUAAAUUAGGAGAAGAGAAGAGACAAUGAAUGUGAAGAUGGAAUUAUCAAUUGUAAUAUUUGAUAGAAUCCAAAGGACAAUGUAGCAUUCUUAGGUGUUUUUAGUUGAUCAGGAGAUAGUUGAUUCUGUGACCUUAAUGUGUAAACUCAUGCAGAUAGCCUUUUCCUAUGUUUGAAUUGUCUUAUAUAUGUUUAUUCUAAUUCGAUUAGUCUAGAGUAAGUAAAAUGACAAUUAUAGUAGUAAUUUCUAGGGUGCCCACUUUCAAAUAGAACUAGUACAUAAUACCAAAUUAGUAAGUUGAUAAAUUUAUUACUUAGCAUUAAAUAAAUUUAUAGAAUUAUAAAAAUUAUUAGAUGAACUUUUAGAGAAGGCCCUCAUUUGAGAAAGCACAUCACCAUGGAGAGCACUUAUAUUCUUUGCAUCCAAAAAAGAUGGUGGACUUCAACUUUGCAUUGAUUAUUGGAACUUCAAUAAAUAGUAUAUUAAGAAUGCAUAUCCAUUUUGACAUAUGGAUGAUUUCUUUGACCAACUUCAAAGUACAACCAUCUUUAGCAAAUUCGACCUUCAAAGUGAUUAUUGGCAAAUCCCUAUUACUAAAGAAGAUAUAAAAAAGAUAGCAUUCUAUACGUACAAUAGACAUUUUGAAUGGCUUGUAUUAUUUUUUGGCCUUACCAAUACUUUAGCCUUUUUUAUAGGCCACAUAAAUAGAUUAUUUUGAUAUCUUUUGAAUAAGUAUGUGGUCAUCUUCACUAAUGAUAUCCUUGUCUAUAGUAAAAUUUCUAAGAAGUAUGAGUAACAUUUACGUAAAGUACUGCUUUAACUAUGUGACAAUCACUUCUAUUGCAAGCAAUCAAAGUAUAAACUUUGGAAGUUAGAGGUCACUUUUUUAGGGCAUAUAGUAUCCUCCAAAGGCAUGCACAUAGAACAAUACAAGAUGAAAGCAGUGGAAGAUUGGCCAACUUUCAAUAAUACUUUUAAAGUUUGCUCAUUCUUAGGCCUUGUUGGAUAUUAUGACUCUUUUUUUUGGUGAUUUUUACAUAUUAUUGCUUCACUAAAAAGCUUAUUAAAAAACAAUACCUCAUUUGAAUGGAAACUAGAACAAAAAAGGAUCUUUAAGGAGUUGAAGGAGGCAUUAAUUACUAUUCCAAUAUUGCAACUAUAUGAUCUUGACCUCCCAUAUAUACUUGAUAUUUAUACUUCCAACUUUGCUAUUGAUGUGAUUCUUCAACAAGACUUUAGUAGAGGCCCUCAACGUGUGGCCUAUGAAUCAUAUAAACUUAAAAGAAUAGAGUACAAUUAUUUUGCAUAUAAUAAAGAAUAACUAGUAAUUGUACAUGCCAUAAAAGUGUAGCAAUAGUAUUUUUUGGAGAAGCCAAUGACUCUUUUUGAUUGGCCAUUGAUCCUUACUACACAAUUUAAAUUUAAAAAAUAUAAAAUUAAGACAUCAUUGUUAGAAAGAGCAAUUGCAAUUCUUUGACAUUGAGCUUGAGUACAAGCAAGGACAACAAUACAUCAUACCAAAUACCUUAUUACACAAACUUGACUUAAAAUCCAAAUCAAAUGAUAAGACAAAAGUCGCUACUAUUAACAGAGUCAUUUUAGACUUAAUAAGAUGAACAGAGUGAAAAGAAGCUACAUAUUACGAUGCUUAUUUUAAGAUUAUUAUUAAUCAACUAAAAGUGGAUAAUAUAUAAUGUUGAGAUUAUUAUAUCAAUAAUGGCUUACUUUAUUUCAAAAAACAGAUUUAUAUACCUAAUAAUACUAUAUUUUGAAUGCACAUAUUUCAAAAAAGACAUGAUAUCUCAAUAUCUAAAUGCCUAAAGUACAAAAAGAUUCUAGAGUAGAUUUCAAGGAUUAUGAUGUUUGAAAUUUUGUCCAUUCUUAUAAAUCAUGUGAGUAUAACAAAGUGUACAACAUAGCAUUUCUUACGCUAUUAUAGCCAAUUCCACUAUCUAUGGCAUAUGGAGAGUAUGUAACUAUAGAUCUCAUUACAUAUUUGUUGCAAAUGCCUCAAAAUCAUACUAUGGUUAUUAUCUUUGUAGACCAACUUUCAAAACAACUUCACUGGGUUGUAAUAUUUUUACUUCACUUUGCAAUAAUUUAUAAUGUUAUAUAUUGCCUUGAGUUUUUGCUACAUAUUCAAUUCCAUCUAAUCUUUUAUAUUUUAUAGCUUAAGAAGUUUUAUAUUGAACCAAAAUACUUUUUGGUCUGAUACUAACCACCACCAAUUGUGAUUGAUGACCAAUAGAAAUAUAAAGUGGACAAUAUUUUGAAGCAUUGCUACCUUUGUCGUGGCUAUGGAAAUCUACAACUUCAAUAUAAAAUUCUCUAAAAAAGUUACUCUAUCUACAAUGCAAUGUAAGAAUUUGCACAAAAUAUUAUUCAUUGUCAAAAAACUAUUUGAAAAUACUAUUAGAAGUGAAACAGAGAUUUUUUACAUUAAUAGAAGAAGAUUAGUUAUAAUAAGGCAUAAAUGGAAUAUUUAUAUUAUUUGUACAUAUAGAUAUGUAUUUGGAGUCAUUUUUAGAAAUUUUUUAGAAUCAAGAUUAAGAUGGUGGUUUAUGCAGGAUCUACUAUAGAACCUUCUAAAAAGAUUUAAGGUAGUUAUUAUGAUGGGAUCUAUCUUUCAAAUCUUCUAAAAAUGUAAUUAUCUUAAUAAGAUCUAUUUUUAGGAUUAUUCUAAAAAAAUUCAUAAUGGUUGAACAAAGUAUAAAUAGGACUAGCUGAAGCUAUUUGGACAUUUAGUCAAAUAUGGUUUCAAACUCCUUCCCUUAGUAAAGUUUGGUUUUCUUAUUCUAUUCUAUUUGAUUAAUUUGAUUCUAUUCUCUUUUAUUCAGUCUUAUCUUUCAUAUUCCAAUCUAUUUAGUUACUUUUAUUUUUAUUUUAGUAUGCUUGAUCUUAUGUUGAAUUGAAAUCUUUGUUGUUAUAAAUUUGGUAUGAUUUUAGAUCUUAGAGAAUUUGGUCUUAUUUCAUUUUAUAGAUAUGUUAAAAAUGGAGAUAUAGAGCUAUGAAACAAUUAUGGUAUAAAGAUGGAUUUAUGUAAAGAAAUGAUAUUUUUUCUUUGAAUUUAUUCAAAAUUAAGCUUAUCAACAAAUAAUUAGUUAUGACUUAAUAUAAUAAAGGAUGUUAGGAUAUUUUUAGAUAUUUUAAAAAGCCUUAUAUAUAAAACUUCUUAAAUAUAAAAAGAUUUUAUCAAUUGAAUAUUUUUUUGAUACUAUUAUAUUUAUUUGGCCGCUAUAAUAAGAAUACAUCACAUAUUGGAAAUUUUCCAUUAAGUUAAAGCUAAAUUCUUUACAAUUAGAUACUUGAUAUAUUUUUAGAUAGAAAAUUAUGCCAUAUAAUAACAUUAUAUCUCAUCAUCUAUUCAAAGAAGAACAUGUUGUUAUUGAGGAUCUUCAUCUUGAUUACAUUAUCUUGAAGGUUGAGACAAUUGCAAUCUCUCAUCUGAGAAGUCAGUAAAUAAUAUGUCUUGAGUUAAAUCUGUUGAUUGUUGGUUCUCCAUCUUCUUAACACCAUAAUAUAUACAAAAGCUAUAAAUGAAGAAAGAAGGUUAAAUAUUAUCUUCUUUUGUAGUAAAGAUUUGUUAUUCUUCAUCUAAUUUUAAUGGAUAUUAUUGAUAAAAAGCUUCUACUUUCUUUGUUAUAUUUGCAAGAUUUUUUGCUAGCUCUCAAGUACAUUCACAAAUAUCAUAUCUAUACUAAUGAAGAAGAUAUUCUAACCUAUUUCGGUAUCACUUUGAGUCUAACACUUCUACUAAUUCAAAUUCUUCAUUAUUGUUUACUUCUAUAAAAGGAGGUAGCACAUAUUUUUUUCUUGAUAUGUUCAUUAUCUUAUAUGAUUCAAAAUGAGAUAUGUGGAAUAUGGGAUGGAUCUUUGUUGACUCUGGUAAGUAUAAUUAUGAGUCAUCAAAUAUACUCACUUGUUAUUUUAGGAUAAAAAUAUGCAUUUAGAAUACUUUAAAUCAAAAUAUAUAGUGAGUAGUGUAGAAAUCCUUAAAGAAAUAGAAAAUUAGAAUGUUAGUGGUGGAAAUGGAAUCUUAGUAAGUCUUAGAGGCAAUUAUCUUUAUUAAUUUAGUAUUUUUACUCAUUUUUGAAUAUUAAAGAUUAUUUAUUAAGACCAAUACUUAUAUUGAUCUUCUAUCUAUAUAUACUACUUAUAAAAACUAUAAAUGUUAUUAGUUAGAAGAAGCAUGAGAAAGACCUUCAUAUCAUUUUAGUUAUUGAUAUAAAAAUUAAAAUUUAUAGUGGAUUUAAAUUAAUUUUUAUUUUUAUCAAAAAUUACCAAGGUAGAAAAAUAUAACCUUAUAUAGAUAUUAGCAUCACAAAAAUAUUAUAGGAUUUUUUAGAAUUUAUGUAGAAUUUAUAUAGUAUGUUUUAGGAAUUUUUAGAGUAAUUUUUAAGAUCUUAGUAAAAAUGAGUUUUACAACUUUGGGAGCCUUUAUGAAAAAAUGGAGCAAGAAUUGAAGGCCACAUUCGGUUCCAAAGCUAAUUGGGUAUUUUUAAAUACCUUGGUCAGGUCAAAAAUGUAAAAAUGUUGGUCCUUCUAGUAGAAAAUAGGAGGACCACCAGCUAGUGUAGUCCUUGUAGGAAGGGGGGUAUACAAAUCCCAUAUGGCUUGUAGCACCUUGAAGGUAGUUAGGAGGAUAAGACUAAGGCCUUGUAGCCUCUCUUAGACACCCUUAUAUGCUACAUGUGAGCCUUGGUGAGGCUCGAACCCUUGAUCUAUAAGCAAGUUAUCCUUGAGGUAAAAUAUUUUCACUUCACUUUUAAAUUAUUUACUUCAUAUCUUUAAAACUUCAUAACUUACUCAUAGUAAUUCGGAUUUAUAUGUUUCUUAUGUCAUUGGAAAGAUAAUAAAAUUAUUUAUCUAAAAAUAUACUUUUUAAUUUUCAAUUUUACUUUUUACUAAGUGAAAAUAUAGUAAAAAGACUGUGACUUAGUUUUGGAUGUUGUAAUUACUUGAUUUCAUUUCUUUCACUUAUAUUGUGGUUGUUCUUCUUUGGUUUUUUUCCAAUUGCAUACUUCACUUUACAUCACCAAUUACAAGCAACUAUUAAUUGAGACCAUCUUGUAAUUGAGAUUGAGGAGUGAAAUUUACACUCACAUUUUGGUACAUUUGCCAUGAGAUGUUGAAAACUUUUGUAAAGUUGGAUGUUGGAUUGCUCUCGGAUUUUCAUCAAUCAGUUUUUAUUUGUUGCAUAUUUUAAGUUGAAACUUUUUGAGGUUUCUUUAAUGGACGUUAGCUUUUCAAAAACCUAUCAUAUGUUCAAAUCGAAGUUCAUUUGAAUUUGUAGUGAUUUUUAGAGUAGAAAGAGGUUCACUGCCUUUGUAGUUUCAUAUAUCCCAUGUUUAGAAAGGCAUUUCUUAGUGCCUGAUGAUUCUUUUAUAGUGAAACUUUUCGUGUACAAACACCUUAAAGUUGCGGUGGUAUUGGUGCAAAAUUCACUGCAAUUAAAUCAAAACUGAAAUUUUUGCGAUUUUUGGAGUGGAGAGAGGUUGCUGCUAUGAUUGGAAUACAAUUGAGGUUAAAGAUUUCUAUCUCUUCUAUCAUUUAUAUUUUGGAUUUUAUGUUAUAUUUUAAAAUUUUGAAUUUAAAAUAUUCUUUUUAACUAUAUCAAAUUAUAAUUAAAUAUAUAUAUAUAUAUAUAUAUAUAUCAAGAAAAAAUUAAAUUAAAAAUAAAAAUAAAAAAGAAUAAAUAUUAAAUUAAUAAUAAUAAAAAAUUAAAAAUAAAAUAGAAAUAAUAAUAAGAAUAAUAAUAAUACUAUUUUAAAAUAAUUAUUUGAUUAAUAAAAAAACUAAAAUUAAUUAAUAGUUUUAAUUUACUUUUAACUUUUUUUUACUUUUUUUUACUUGUUUUUUUAUUUAUUUAAUUUUUAUUAUUACUUUUAUUUACUAAUAAUAUUUUUUCUUUUACAUACAUGAUAAGUUUUUAAUAUUGAGAUAAAUUUAAUAUAUUUUUUUCUUUUCUCACUAAUUGAUUUUUUUAAGGCACUAUUGUUAUUCCUAACCUUAAGUAAUAUUUGAUUAGUUUAUUUUUAGUAUUAGUAUUACUUGGUGGUUUUUUAAAGUUUUUUGUCAAUUCCAAAAGCAUAAGAGGUGGAGCUUGUCUUCAAGGUUUCAUCACUCCUCCUCUUUAUAAUUUUUCCUAUUGAGGGUAUUUUUUUAAUGGUAGGAGGAUUUAAUCACUUCCUCCAUUCUUCAUAUCAUUUCUUUUCAUCUUUGUAAAUUUCUAGUCGAGGGAUUUUUUCUAGUGGUCAAGAAAUUUAAUCACUCCCUAUAUCCCUUGUAUCUCUUCUAUUCACAAAAAUAGUGUAGAAGUAGUAUAGAAGGAGCUUAAGAAGGAUUCAAGAGAAUUCUUCAUCAACAAAAGAAGAAAUAAAUUCAAGAAGAAAGAAUUAGAUAAAGAAGAUAGAGAGAAGAUUCUUAAGAAAAAAAAAAGACUUAAAAAAUAAGAAAGGAGAAAUGAAAAGAUCCACAAUUGAAAUCAUAAUUCAAGGUGAAUAUCUUUUCAACAAAAUUUAUUUAAUUUUAAAUUUAUUUUGCUAAUAUAGAUUGUAAUUUGAAAAGAAGGAAUAUAAAAAAGAAGGAGGAAAGCAUUAAUAGCUUAUAAAUAAGUAAGUUUUUCAACCUUAUUAAUUAUUCUUUUUUUGAAAUUUUAGAAAAUUACUUGAAUACAAGGAGUGAGAGCUAGGAGUUGGAGGAUAGAAUCUACGAGAAAGACAUGAGUGAGAUAAGUUUUCAAUCUCUUUUAUAGAUAUAGAUGGGAGAAGGUAAAUUGAACCUUUAAUUCAUUAUUCUUAAACCUUAAAUCUUUACUUAGAAUAUUUAGUUCAAGAUUGGCUAGGAGAGAACUUACAUAUUUUGGAAGUUUGUUAACAAGUGACAAGUUGGCUAGAAAUGCAACUAGGUGAAUUCUCCUUCAAAGUGGUGUGAAUUGUUUGCAAAGUGUGAGCUAAAUUCCUCCACCCUUAAUUGCGUUUAGUAGUCAAGUGGAUUAACUUCACUCACACAUAAUUUUUAUAAACCCUAAGUUCAUUCAUAAAUCCUAAGUUCAUCCAUAAAUCCUAAGUUCAUCCAUAAACCCUAAGUUCAUUCAUAAAUCCUAAGUUCAUCUAUAAAUCCUAAGUUCAUCCAUAAACCCUAAGUUUAUCCAAAAACCCUAAGUUCAUCCAGAAACCCUAAGUUCAUCCAUAAACCCUAAGUUCAUCCAUAAACCCUAAGUUCAUUCAUCCUAAAUUUCCCUUCAUCAAUCAUCCAUCCCUUAAAUCUCAUUCAUCUUAUAACAUUCAUUCAUUCAAAGUUUGUUCAUCCAAUUUUUAUCUAAAGAUUCAUUCAUCCAACCAUAAGUCAACUUAUCAUCCAAUUGACAAUUCGUGCAAUUGACCUAAUUCAUCCAAGAUUCAUCCUAAAAAUUAAAGAAAAUCGGAAGUCGCCACCUUCCAAGUCAUGGUAGCGACCCCUUUGCACGAAUUCCACUACAAUGGUUGCAUCACUAACUUGUUUAUAACAAGCUUUGCUAUUUUAGAAAGUAGACUUACAAGCGCUUGUCUUCCAACAAAAUUCAAUGCAAAACAACAAUUAAGCUAAGAGAAAUCUUGCCUCAAAGUUGCCUGACUUUCUCGGCCUAGUUAGAGCACCCCUGGCCACAAAAACCCUUGCCCUUGCUCCAUUCCAGUUGUGCAACGCAUAUGCUUUAGCAUUCCAGAAACUAGAAUUGAAGUUGCAUCACCUCCAACAAUUUUUUCUUGAAAAUCUUGAGUGAAUUCCAAGAUAUGACCUUCCAAAGUAGCUUGAGUUGGCGGAGUGCUACAUCUUCACCAUGGCCGACUCCUCUUCACUCCAACCACCAUAACUUCCUUGGCCUUUACUCAAUCUAAGCGUGCAAAUAGUCCUUGCAAAGCUGACAACAAGAACCAUCCCCCACAAAAGUUUCAGCUCCAAAUUCAAUACUGUCCGCCAACACUCGCCUUCCAAAGUCGGACCUCCAGAUCUGGCCGGCAGCUGACCUCCUUGUCACUAAAACCACCACAACUUUCUUGUUUUCUCUCCAAACAAAGCGUGCCUACUGUCCCGAGGAAGCUAACGACAAGAUCUAACUAUUGGUAAAGUUUGACAUUCUAUUUCCAGAUAACUAAUACACUACAGCUGCGCAAUUGCAGCUCUAUAGAAACAAGGGUACGUGGGGAUGCAAUUUGGCAUGGCUUCGCCCCAAAAAAAAAAAAAAAAAAAGAGAGAGAGAUAGCAAGUGUGGAAGAGACCAAAGGGUGGCGGCCACAUCUCCACCAUCCGAAUCCACCAACCCUAAUCAAGAUCAAGGGCCGACAUUAACCCUAAGUCCUAAAUCCGAUUUUAGUGCUGGACAUGCCCAAAAUCUCCAAUUCGAAGCGUUUUUUGACAAAACUAACUCCACCAAUGUGUUUAAAACAUAUUUAAACAUCAAGUUUGACUAUUCAUACACCCAAAUCUAAGUUCUAGAUCACUAAGAACCAACAAUUUGACAAAUCCAUCACAAUAAAUUUACUUCUAAUUAUUUUCUUCUCCUUUUUCUUCUUCUUCUCCUUGUCCCUCUUCAUCUUCUUCUUUCUUUCUUCUUGGCCUUUUUUUUUUUUUUUUUUUUUUUUUUCUUCUUUUGGCUCUUUUUCUUAUCUUUCUUUCCACUUCCUUCUCCCUUGAUUUUUCUUUCCACUACUAAUCAUCAAUAAGCCACUAACAUUAAUGUCUAUAACUAACUUAUUAUAACAAAAUAUAAUCAAAAACCUCAUUUUUUUAGAUUUUUUUAGUUUAACCAAUAAUGUGAACCAACUUUUGGGCUCACAUAAUUGGCGACCAUCAGGGGACGAAUCCAGCUUGUACUUGCCAAUUUUUGUCUUUUAAAGUAUUUUCACCAUGCCAGUUCAUACUAUCGCCUUGUCAUAAGAUAGAAAGGUGGAGCUCUUGCCCAAAAUUGCGCUCCCUCAUGUCUUAUAUUCUUUAGACCUGCUACCUGAUGUUCGUGUGGGAAACAAUUGACCACUCAAGGUCUCCAAUUGCACGGAGUUGUUUAAAAACACCUCCUUGACAAGAUAAGGAUCCAACCAUACGGCAUCAAACUUUCUUGGAAAGUCGAUCUUCCGAGCAUCUUGUAACAAUACUAGCAUACCAAGUUGCAAGACCCGAGUCUUGUUCCGUUUAUCAAACACGACCUUGCGUCGCCUCUGGAUGGCCUCAAUGUGUUGAGCCCCUCGUCUUCUGCUCUCAUCCAAUGCCUCGAGCUCGUACAAUCUUGUCUUCAAAGAUUGUCUGUCAGUCAAUGUGGAAUCUACUGUAAUCCGAAGGGAUGGAACCUCAAACUCAAUUGGUAAAACUGCUUCCAGUCCAUAGACUAGAGAGAAUGGUAUAGCCUGCGUGAUGACCUUAAAUGUUGUUCUAUAUGCCCAUAAGGCGGCUGGCAGUUUCACAUCCCAAUCACGCUUGGAGUCUCUAACAGUUUUCCUCAAUAUAGUACCAAGUGUUUGGUUGACUCGCUCUGUCUGACCAUUGGUUUGAGGGUGAUAGGAUGUAGUCUUCCGGUGAUCAAUCUGGAAUCACUCAGUCAUAGAUCCAAUCACCUCGUUGAGGAAAUGAGUACCUUGAUCACUCACAAGGAUCUUCGGGACUCCAAAUCUAGUAAUCACAUUCUCAAAGAGAAAGAUUGCAGCAUUCUUGGCAUCAUUUGUCCUCACAGCCUUGGCUUCAGCCCACUUAGUGAGAUAUUCAGUGGCCACUACAAUAUAUGCCAUUCCUCGAGAUGAAUGAGGAUGAAUCUCUCCCACGUAAUCGAUGCCCCACUUCUCGAAUGGCACCAAUGGUAGGGAAAUGUGAAGUGGCAACUGCAUGUGAAGGUCAUUCCUAGCAAAUCUCUGACAUGCAUCACAACGCCUCACAUAGGUAUGAGCGUCCUUGAAGAGUGUUGGCCAGUAAUAACCAGCCCUAAGAAUUUUCUGACCAGUCAAUUGUCCAGAAAAAUGUCCGCCACACGCACUGUUAUGACAAGCUGACAAAAUGGAAGGAACCUCAUCUUCCAUCAUACAACGUCUUAAUACUCCAUCCAAUCCACGUCGAUACAACCGGUUCCCUAACACCACAAAAUGACGACUAUUGACCCGAAUCUUUCUCUUCUCGUCCUUGGAUAAAUCCAUUGGCAAUUGUUGAGUAGUCAAGAACUCAAUAAUCCUAGAAUAUCAUGCUGGUCUAGCUGUCACCAAGAAAAGACUCUCGUCUAUCAAUCUAUCAUCAAUUGGGUGGGUCUCCAUUCUUCCAGGCAAUCUCGACAUGUGAUCUGCUUGUUUGUGUACGGAUCCAGGUUUGUACUCCACAGUGUAAUCAAACUCUUGUAGCAACAAGACCCACCUAGCUAGUCGACCGCUCAACUCAGGUUUGUUAACCAAAUACUUGAUGGCCAUGUGAUCUACAUAAAAAACUACUUUGUUGCUCAAAAGAUAAUGUCUAAACUUUUUAGCUGAGAACACCAUAGCUAGACAUUCCCUCUCAGUGGUGGAAUAAUUUUUCUCUACAAGAUUUAAUUGCCUACUAGCGUAGGCAAUUGGAUGAUCCUUGCCCUUGCUUGGGCCUUCUACAAGUUGGCACAGAAUGUUGCCAACCGCCACCGCACUUGCAUCACAAUAGAUGUGGAAAGGCAAGUCCCACCUCGGGGGCCUCAAUAUUGGAUAAGAAGACAAUUCCUUCUUUAGAACCUCGAAAGCAUCAUUACAAGCCUGAGUCCAUAUAAAUUUGGUGCCUUUCUUCUGAAGGCUAGUGAUGGGAAGGGUAAUAGUGGCAUAAUCUUCAAUCAACUCUCUAUACCAACCGGUGUGUCCCAAUACACGUUGCACUUCCUUCACACUGGUAGGAGGUGAUAAAUUCUGAAUUACCUUCACCUUUUCUGGCUCGGGCUCACGACCCCUUUUACUAACCAUAUAUCCCAACAAAAUGCCUCUAAUCAAGGCAAGAUAGGUUUUUUCUGGAUUCAGGGCCAUUCGAGCUUUCUUGCACCUCUCAAUGCUUUCUUUCAUCAAAUGAAUGUGAGAAUCUGUAUCAGAUUGGGUGCUGAAAUCAUCAAUGAAUACGGUCAUUGAUUUGUAUAACAAGUCUGAGAAGAUAGACAUCACCAGACGUUGGAAAGUAGUAGGGGCGUUACAUAAUCCAAAUGGCAUCACAUGCCACACAAACAUCCCCCAAGGUGUUGUAAAUGUAGUCUUGUGUCGAUCUUCAGGUACAAUAGACACUUGGUUGUAUCCAAAAUAUCCAUCCAUAAAUGUGUAUAAAUCGUGACCUGCCACUUCUUCUAAGAUGCUAGUGAUAAAUGGCAAGGAAAAGUGGUCUUUUUGGGUGCAAAAAUUCAACUUCCUAUAAUCCACACAUCCUAAGUUUACCAUUCUUCUUCUUUACAAGCACCAUGGGAGAGACCCAAUCUGUGAUCUCAACAGGUUUAAUAAAAUCUGCUUGGAGUAAUUUCUCCAGUUCUUCUUUUACAAUCAAUUGAAGCUGAGGAUUCAUUCUCCUCUCCUUUUACCUGAUCGACACUGCACCGGUCAUCAAGGGAAUUCGAUGUUCUACAAUCUCAGGAGGAAUCCCCUUUAACUCCUUAUAAGACCAUGCAAAGACCUCCUGAUACUCUCUUACCAACUCACAGUAGGCCUUGAUCUCUUCAUCCUCUAGUUGGCUUCCCAUCUUCAUUUGUCUUGGUUCUUCUCCUUCAAACUCCACUAUCACAAACUUCCAAUCUUCUUUAGCAACGUGAAAUUGUUCAUUGUUAUCUCGAUACCAAUCCGAAGGCACAUUGGGAUAACUGAAAAUGUCUUCUCUAACCGUAAUUCCCGAAGAACCAGUCUUAAAUUUCAAUGAUCCUCCCAAAUGCUCACUUUCCUCUAAAACCUCUACUCCUUCAACAUCCUCUAUUCCAAUCAAAUGGACAUCUACCUCAAUUAAAGGUGUCAAACCAUCGUCCAACUCCAUUCCAAUGAAAUUCAAUCCUGCCGUCAAUUCUGAUGAAGAAUCAGGGUUGUCUUGGAGCCACUUGGCAUACUCUCCAUUGUCUGACCAAUGGUAGAGAUUUGGACCAAGACACUUCAAGGUUUGAACCUCAGCUUCAAACGUCAUCCCAUCCACGGAUUUUAAUGGUGUGCCUUCUCCAAUAGAUAUGGUGUCAACCACCUCGAGUCCUAUCAAAGGCUUGAUUCUAACUUUAGUGGGGUUUUCAUAUGGACCGUAAACUAUGGAGGGCUUAUCACCACCCCACAUGAUGGUGGCAUUGGCCAUCCUCAACCACGGACGACCUAAGAGAAGUGGAAAAGAUUCUUUGGAAGUGUGCAUCUUGAUAACAUGGAAGAUCACUAAGUAAUCCUCCCCUCCUGUAGAGAUUUUAUAGUUCGUGAUCUGGCCUAAAGGCCUAGCAUGACUCUGAUCUGCCAUGUUUAAUACAAAUGGUAAAGGUCCGGUUAAAUUCAACCCCAACUUCUCCAUGGUAUGAAGUGGCAUGAUAUUAAGCCCACUACCUCCAUCAAUGAGCACAUUCGGAACCACCUUGUCCAUGAUAGUGACCUCGAUCUCCACUGCCUUCACAUCCACUAGCCUAAUAGAUGCUUGUACCCUAGUCACUGUCCUCUUCUGAGUCUUCUUCUUCCUCUUCGCCCUUGGCAAUCCUUCUUUGAAACUCUUCCUCAUCAAAGGAGAUAUCUCCAAUAGUUGAGCAAUUGAUAUGUCAGCCUUUAUCCUCCGCAAGUCCCUCCAGAGAUCAUACUUCUGGUAAGAGGUUGGCAUUGUACGACCCAACCCUCCAAACUCCUCCUCUGGAAUAUCUGGACCCUCGCAUUCACCUGGUUCUAACCCUUUACCUGGAUCAGAGCGUUCAGAUGACCUUUCAUCACCUACCGCGGCGCCUACCUCCCUUGUAAUUCUUGCCACCUCCUUUGCAGCCACCUCAAGAGCUACUAAAUCCAACAACUCUUCAGACUCACUACUAUCUGAGUCUUCUUCAUCGAUUGGUGAUUGCCUAUGAGCUUGCCCUCGGGUAAUCACAGCCAAAGUAGCAUUCUCAUGGCCACCACCUCCGUUUUUCUUCAAUUCAUUGGUCACUAAAUUAGAAGGUGCUUCAUGUUCUUCAAUCACCACUGUGGUCUUUGCUAGAGAUGGCGCAGGACCCUUUAAUAAGACCUCUUCUGCUACUCUAACAUCUUGGUUAGAAGAUAGACCUUGUUUCUGGUUUGCAUAGUUUCGAUAGCCGCCUUGUUGAUUUUUGGCAACUGGGAUAUAACCUUGGCGGGUUUGUAAUCCUUCCGGAGGUUGAUGGUUUUGUCUGAAAUCCUCAUAGUUGUAGUAGAGAUUAGGAGGUUUUAGGCCCCUCUAAUCAUCACCAUGAGGUCGUCUCUGAUCUCUCAUGUUAUUCCACGCGUUCUCAUAAGGAUUUGUUAUUGGUGGUGGUAGUUGAAUUUCCUUAUCAGGUUGUCUACAUUCAUGGGUAGGGUGAUUGCCACCACAAUCGCCACACGGCCGUGGUUGGUCAUCAUCCCAGCACUGACCCGGCUCAUGCUAUCUCCUGCAAAGCUCAUGGUACUCCUUUCGAGGCUUGCCACUUCUACCAUAUCCUUGAGGACCACAUUGAUAACCUCCUUGCCGCUGCUGAGGUCCUCUAUCUCUUCCAUAGCCCUGUGUUGGCUGGUAUGGUUGAGGAUUUGGAUUACCUUGAGGCCUUACUCGGCACUGAAGAGAUGAAUGCCCAUUUUGGCCACAAGUAGUGCACCAAAUCCCCGAGUUAUGGUUACCAGACUCUAUCCGAGGAGGUGGGGUGUUUGAAUUUUGAUUCUUUAUCAUGAAUGCCAUCUGCUCAGUCAAGGCUUGGAUCUGCUUCAUCAUGGAGUCUUGAAAACCUUCUUGUCCGGCCUGUAUUUUCUUCUCCAAGUCCUCCACUCUCCUCUCCAAUUGUGGCUCUAAUAAUGCCAAUAAGGGUACCGGAGCUCUAGUGGCCGUGGGCAUGAUAUUGUAAUAUUGGGCACUAUUGUCGACUAUCGGAGGUGUACUUGACGUGCUUGGUCCUACCGCUGUUGUGUUAUAACACGAGUAUACAGAGAAAAUAAAAAGAAAGGGGAAUUUUAUUAAUAUUCAGUUACCUCGAAUAUUGGGAGCAUCGACCAACUCCUGUACAAAUACUGAGUGGCCAGGUUCAGUCACCCCGUUACAGUCAUUCGGGGCAUACUGAAAUGCUCCAUUCAAUUCCAAUAACGGGAGUCAGCAGGAAGAGAAGGACCAAUUCACACGACGGGUUCGAAGAGCCAAUUGGAUCCAAUUUCGAGAAUCCAAUCCAGGUCUUCUUACCCAAUAUGAGACCUGAAUUGGCCGGGCAACCCAAUGCAGACCCAAUUACGGGAACAUCUAGGUUAUUACGGACAUCUUACCCAAUAUGGGACCUGAAUUGGUCGGGCGACUCAAUGUGGUCCCGAUUACGGGGUUUCGAUUCUGUUUCGGGCUGUCUUGUUCUCUGUGCCAUUUCAGGGAACGUUGUUUUCGGUAAAUGGAUUUCUUAAAGGUAAAAACGGAGGAGAAAGCUCUGACGGCGAGAGCCAAUUUUAGAUCCAAGCUUGACGGUGGGAGCCAAUUCCGGAUCUAAGACGGAAGAUUGAAGAAAUUCAGUGGAUAAGGUUAGGGGGGAUAUAGUUUUGAAGGGGGUUUUUUUUUUUUUUUUUUUUUUCUCUGAGAAUCGGGGGGAGCUAGUUUGCAAGCUUUUGCAAGGUUACUAGUUCGGUUUUCAUUGGAGGUUUUUGAAGAUCAAGGGGAUUAGAGAGAGGGGGCUUCAUGCUUCGGGUUGGGGAAGGAAAGACAUAGAAUUUGGAUUUUUCUUCUUCGUAGAGUUUUGGGAAGACUGAGGCAAUCGCUGCUGAAGUCAGUAUUGUAAUGGUGAAUCGAGACUUUUAAUGAAGUGGGUUUGGAUACUCUUGACUGUUUUGUAAAAUCGAGUUACGUCUGUGAUUGAAGGAUUAAAAGGUGUCUAUAGGAUUGAGUAUGUGGAGUGAAUGAAAUUUAUUGGGUUAAUCUAACAAGACAGUCAGUGGAUAUAAGAUCGUAAGUACAAAGCGGUAUUGAAGAUUAACAGUUUGGAUUGUUCGGGGUUCUCUGUAACAUCUAGAGACCAAACAAAGUUGACAUUAGAGCUAAACAAAGUUGAUCUAUUUCUUCAAGCUGACAAAGGUAGAAAAAUUGACAUUGGAGCCAAACAAAGUUGAUCUAUUUCUUCAAGCUGCUGAUGGAGAAUUACAAGAGAAAUUAGAAUCCUUUCUUGAAGACAAAGAAGAAGAUGAAGGAUUGACAAAAAAGUGGAAGAACGUUGAAGAUGCGGUGGGAUUGCUUACAAAAAAAGAAAGGAGGAAGGAUAGGAGCAAUAUUCCAAAAACAGUACAACCACCCAAAGCUCCAGUACGUACAACACCACCAACAAUGCCUACAGUUCAACCUUCGACAUCCUUAUCAAAGAAAGCAGAUAUAGAUAUGGAAGAAAUUAUACGAGGAAUGCGAGAUCUUCAAAUCAAAUUGGCAAGACUUGAAGAGAAUACUUCUAUAAACAAUUCGAAGAAUGUUUCAAAAUAAGGAUAUGUACAAAGAUGCAUUUGGUGUGAUGAUGCUUCACACACUAGAAAAGAUUGCAAUGAAUUUAAUAAUAUGAUACGGCAGGGAAUUAUUUGCUGGAAAGAUGGGAAGAUAGCAUUGAAAAAUAGAGAGGAUCUUCUUCAAACCAAUUUUGACAAGGGAAGAAUGAGAGCAUUGGUUCAAGAUUACUUAAAAGAGCAUGAAACAGUAGCACAAGAAAGUGCAAGUUAUGGUGCUAGAGUAGAUGAUGAAAUUGGUGGAAGUACGGAAACUAGUGAGUUUUGGGCUUCUGCCGUUUCUACAAUGCAAGAAGGGAAAUUACCUCGAGAAGCAUUAUUGAGGCCUGCAGCUACAAUACGAGGUAGAACAGGUUGGAAGGAUCCUGUUGAGUCUCUUUCAGUUCAUGCAUAUAUUGCUAAGAGCCAACAUAAAGCUUUCAUGGAAGAAAAAAGACGAGGAAAUUUUGAUGAUACAAGAGAAGGAAAUUCUUUUAAGAGGCAAACUCGAGGAGACAAGGCUCGGGAGGCAGCUUCACAAGAAGUGCCUAUAAAGGAUACCUCAGUAUCAUUGGGAGAAAAAACAACGGAGACAAAAGAUAAGGGCAAAUCAAUUGCUUAUAAGCUACUUUCUGACAUUGAAGCGGCAACAAAUUUGAAAGGGGUGUUGGAAGAACGUAUAUUAAAUGCUAAGGUGGAAUUCACAUUGAAAGAAGUCUUGAGAAUUGCAAAGAAGGAGUUUCAUGAUGUUAUCAUUGACAGCAUUAAGCGAAAGAGGCAAUUAAUGGGCAAAACUGGAAUGAGUCUUGCUAUUGAUGCAAGAAUGUGUAGAGAUGAAGAAGAGGUUGAUAUUGGUUACAAGCAACCAACAAAUGAAAAGAAUGGGUAUAAUCAGCGAGUACGUUUCGAAGAUUCUAGUGACAAGGAAAUAGAAACUUUGAGCCAUUAUACUCGAAACCAUUGGGCAAGGGCAACUACUGAGGUAUUAGUGAAGGUAGGAGAUAUAGAUGAACCAAUAGUUGCUUUGGUCGACCAUGGUUCUCAAAUAAAUCUCAUGUCUAAAGAUCUUUAUAAGAAGCAAAAAUGGCCAAUUGAUAUGGAACAUGGAUGGACAAUACGAGCAGCUAAUAACACACGGGGCGAAUUAUAUGGAGCUUGUCCAGAUGUCAAAAUUCGGAUUGGAGAUGUUGCGACGUCGCAACAUUUCUUCGUUCAAGAUACAACGUCUUAUCCGUUGAUUUUAGGACAACCUUAUAUCACGGCAACACGGAUGGAAAUAAAAGUACUUGAUGAUGGUUUUGUAUCAAGGACAAAGACUCGAUGAGGAAAAAUAUACACCAAAAGGCUAUCUCGAUAUAAUAGGUCAAAAUAUAAACAAGUAGGUAUAUUAAAAGGACACUGGAAUGGCUAUUGCCGCAAGACAAGAAACUAAAGACUCUUGAAUCUGGACUAGAAGCAAGAAAGGAGUUGACAAGAGUGAAGAAGCCUUCACUCUUGUCUCUAUAUAUACUAUCUAACUAGGGGCUACGUGGCGACGUUCUAUAGGACCUCCAAUAUGUGUUGACUUUGUAGGACACAUGCCUUGACUUACAAGGCAAGUUUUUCUACGUGUGGGCCACAUAGUUAGCUUGAUCUUCAAGCUAACAACAUGUGUGGCACAUGGCCAACUUGUUGACCACGUUUCUAAUCCAAAAAGUCAAUUAAAGACACCUAUGAAGUCAAAGCAGCGUCUAGGAAGUUUCUAGGAAGCUUCUAUAUUAAAUAUUAUAUAAUUAACUUACUUUUAUCUACUUUUACUUACUUCUACCUAUUUCUAUAUGUAAUUAUUAGCUUACAUGAUUAUGGCCGUGACAUUACCCCCCCUUCUAGAGACGAGUUCCACGAGGAGCGGUCAUCAUAUGUUGAGGAAAUCUAUGAUGCGACGAAUUGUAUUCGCCACAUACUCUGAUCUCUGUUCUCUUCGAAGAUGAUUGAUAGGGCCUCUCAACCAUCGGUAGUGUCCCAUACCAGGGCGGAAAGACCACCCAGUUAUUUGAUCAUUAUUGAGGCCUUCAUAACUUCCUUCGAAUAGAAUAUUCGGAACACCAUCAGGAGUUGUUCCUACCUCUAGCAAAAUCACCAAACAUCGGGAGUACCUUCCCAAAUCAUGAUACCAAACGCGUUGUAUCUCACCAUCUGUUCGAGGAAGAACAUGUCGUUCUUGAAGAUCUUCAUCUCGAUUGCAUCGUCUUGAAGGUUGUGACAAUCGUAAUGUCUCGUCCGGCAGGUCAGCAAACGAAGGUUCUUGAGUUGAAUCUGCUGGUUGUUGGCUCUCCAUCUAAUUAGCGUCACAAAUGCAAAGAAGUUACAAACAAGGAUAGGAAAUUGAAUGUUAUCUUGCGUCAAUCUUGUCUCUUUUAUAAGAGAGAUUUUCAUCUUGGUUUUGAUGGAUGUCGUUGAUGAAAAACUUUGACUUUAGUUGAUGCAUUUGCUAGAUUCCUGGAUGGCUCCCAUGUGCGUUCACUAAUAUCAUAUUCGCGCCAAUGAACAAGAUAUUCCAGCUUAUUUCGGCGCCGCCUUGAGUCUAAUAUCUCUUCCACCUCAAAUUCUUCAUUAUUAUCUACUUCUAUAGGAGGCGGUGGCAUUUGUCUUCUUCCUUGUAUAUCCACUGUCUUAUAUGGUUCAAGAAGAGAUACGUGGAAUACAGGAUGGAUCUUCAUUGACUCUGGUAGAUGUAACCGAUAUGCAACUGGAUUGAUCUGUUCAGAAACAGAAAAGGGGCCAAGCCUACGAUAGUCCAACUUGUCACAAGGUCGAGUAGUCUUGAUAUUGCGACGAAGUAGCCAUACCUUAUCACCGACGUUGAUCUGUGGUUACUCCUUACGAUAUAGAUCUGCGUUUAUCUUUUGUCGUUCUUGAGCUUCCUUCAAUUGUGUCUUCAUUAUUGCAUGUAACUCUGACAACCGAUUUGCCAUAUCUUCUGCUGCAGGAUUAUCAACUUUUGAAAAAUCAAAAGUAUCAAGUCGUGGAUGAUAGCCAUAAUUGGCAAAGAAAGGUGUUUGUUGCGUGGAAGAAUGUACCGUAUUAUUAUAAGCAAACUCUGCCAAUGGCAGAAGGGUUGUCCAAUCAUCUUGUUGGUAGUUGAUAGUACACCUUAAAUAUUGCUCCAAGACUUGGUUUACGCGCUCUGUUUGUCCAUCAGUUUGAGGAUGAAAAGCCGAAGAUAGUUUUAUGUCCACUUUUAAAAUCUUGAAAAGGGUCCUCCAAAAUCUUGACACAAAUUGAGUUCCCCUAUCCGAUAUGAUAUCUUUAGGUAAUCCAUGAUAGCGAUAGAUAUUAUCAAUGAAAAGCUUAGCUGUUUCUUCACCUGUGAUAGAUUUUGUACAUGGCACAAAAUGUGCCAUCUUGGUGAAACGAUCUACUAUCACAAAUAUAGAAUCAUAAGAUCUUGAGCUUGGAAGAUCUGUGAUGAAAUCCAUAGAAACAGAAGACCAUGGUUGUUCUGGUAUAGGUAAUGGCUGAAGAAGUCCGUAAGGUCGAUGACGAGGAAUUUUUGAUCUUGAACAAAUAUCACAUGAUUGUACAAAGUCUUUGACUGACUUCCACAUUUGUGGCCACCAAAAAUCUCUUGAUAUGAGUUCCAAAGUCUUAUUAUAUCCAAAGUGCCCUGCUGCUGGAAAGUCAUGACGUGCUUGAAGAACACGUAAACGUGCUUCUCCUUCUGGAACAUAUAGGCGUCCUUCAAAAUAUAAUAGAUUAUUCUUGAACUCAAACUUAGAAGGAUCAUGAGACUUGGAAGAAUUAUUCUCGAUAUCAUAAACAAGAGGGUCUGAGGACAUACUGGAUUGGAUUUGCUUGAGAAAAGUUGAAUCAACAGUCAAUGUUGAUUUCAUUGCUCGGAGAUGAAAUUGCUCCGGUUUCAAGAGGACCGUUCUUUGUUGCUCAAAAGCUGCAUCUCCUUCUUUUGGUGCAAAAUAAGAACGUCUAGAUAGGGCAUCGGAUAAACCUUGUUGUUUUCCUGGCCGAUAAGUGAUAAUGAACUCGAAUCUUGACAAAGACAUACUCCAAUGAGCUUGACGACGAUUCAACACGCGUGCUGACAUGAAAUACUCGAGGUUCUUGUGAUCUGUAUACACAGUGACUCGACUAGAAGCGCCUUCUAGAUAAUGACGCCAUUCUUGAAAAGAAUCCACGAUCGCAAGAAGUUCUUUAUCGUGGAUCUCAUAAUUGAUCUCGGCUGUUGAGAAUUUUCUUGAAUGAAAAGCUAUCGGAUGGAGUUUGUCAUCUGUUCCCAUUUGUGAUAAAACUGCACCCAAGGCAAAAUCUGAUGCAUCUGUUUCCAUAAAAAAUGCCUUGGAAAAGUCAACACGAUAUAAGACUGGUGCAGAGACAAACGAUGUCUUCAAGGCUUCAAAUGCUGCUUCCGCUUCUUGAUUCCAUUGAAAUUUAUCUUUACUAGUCAAGCAUGUAAGUGGAGCUGCAACUCGUGAGAAAUCUUUGAUGAAGAUCCGAUAGUAAUUCGCAAAUCCCAAGAAACAUUGAACAUCUCUUACUGUCCUUGGAAUCUUCCAAUCCACGAUAAUUUGGACUUUCUUAGAAUCCAUCAUGAGACCAUCAUUUGAAAUGAUGUAUCGUAAAAAGUCAACUUGAGUAGUGUGAAAUACACACUUUUCCAUCUUGGCGUACAAUCCUGCAUCUCUAAGUUUUUGUAAUACUUGACGAACAUGUAUUUCAUGUUCUUCGACGUUCUUGGAAUAGAUCAGGAUAUCGUCUAGAUAGCAGACGACAAAAUUGUCUAAGAAUUCACGAAAUACAUCAUUCAUGAGAUGUUGAAAAGCAGCAGGUGCAUUCGUGAGUCCAAAAGGCAUGACAUUAUAUUCAAAAUGCCCGUACCUGGUUCGAAACGCAGUUUUCCAUUCAUCUCCUUCUUUGAUCCGUACUAGAUUAUAUGCUCCUCUUAGAUCUAUUUUUGUAUAGAUCUUAGCUUGAUUUAACUGGUCAAGGAGUCCUGAUAUCAAAGGUAAUGGAUACCUGUUCUUGAUUGUGAUCUUGUUGAGUCCUCGAUAAUCAACACACAUUCGUAAAGAUCCAUCUUUUUUCUUUACGAAUAGAAUUGGAGCUCCUGCUGGAGAUUUUGAAUGGCGUAUGAAAUUCUUCGCUAAAUUCUCGUCAAUAUAUGUCUUGAGUUCAGCCAUCUCAUCUUGCGAUAAACUGUAAAUUGGUCCAAAUGGUGGCUGAGUUCCUUCCCUGAGGUCGAUUGAACAAUCAUAUGGACGAUGCUCAGGAAGAAUAUCUGCAUUCUUUUUCUCAAAAACGUCUUGAUACUCCUGAUAUUGACUUGGAAUGCCACUUGAAGUCUUUACGUUUUCAGAAAUAGGUGCAGCAUAAAUAGCAAAAGUUGAUCCUUCUUUUGCUGCGUGUAUAAAUGCUUUUGCACCUAUCAGUACGGGUUUUACUGUACUAGACUUAUAAUUUUUUACUUGGUUCGUAGAACUAUUAAUAACGCUUUUGGAAAAAUCAAGUUUACGCGAAUUCCAAUCUAUUUGAGGGUUAUAUUUUUCUAGCCAGGAUAAACCUAAAAUAACUGGAUUGGACGGGGAUUUAAUUAUGUUAAAAGCUAUGUAGCUAUCAUGACCGUCUAUUGUUACUUUUAUAGGAUGAGUUUCAUGAGUGACAUCUCCAGAAGACAAGGGACGACCAUCUAUGACUUCUACAUGUACUGGUUUAGGUUUCUGUACAUAGGGUAUUUUACGACUUUUAACAAAUUGUUCAUCUAAAAAACAUGCUGAGGCUCCCGAAUCUAAUAAAGCAGAGGCUUUGUAAUUCUUAGGUUCUAAAUAUAAGUCUAUUAUAAAACAAGGAGAGGGUUCUGAGGAGAGGAUAGGACCUUCAUUAGGAAUUGUACAAGGUUCCAGCUGCACGGUCCCUAUUGUAGCUGGACGAAUCCGUUUUUCGACAUGUUGUCUUCUUUGACCGUCGUACCCCUCAUUUUAUAGUUGCGUCGUUUCUUUGGACAAUGUUGAGCAGUGUGCUUAGGUUCUCCGCAAUAUAAACAUAAUCCUUCUUGACGACGACGAAUCUUUUCUUGCUGAGUUAGAGGUUUAAAACGUACCGCGUCAAUUUGCAUGUCUUCUACUUCCGAAUGUACGUUUGGCAAAGAUGUUGAUGUUGCCAUUGAGUAAUAACGUUGAGGUUCCCGUGAAUGAUUCUCAGAUCGAAAUUCAAAAAAUCGAUUAUCACAUUUUACCGCAAAAUCGAUUGCUUGACUCAAAGUUUGAGGAUCAGGUAAGUUGAGCAUCAAUUUCUUUACUUCGUAUUGCAAUCCAUAAAGAAAUUCACUGAUGAGUGCAGCAUCAUCCCACUUGAUGUCAAUUGCAAGUUGUCGAAAUUGUGAAGCAUAUACUGUUACUGAGCGAUUUCCUUGUUGCAGAAUUCGGAUCUUAUUUGUUGCAACACGAGUUGCAUCGUGUUCACCAUACAUAGAUCGAAACUCCGCCAAAAAAGCUUCCAAAUUGUCCAAUAUUGGAUUUCGUUGUUCAAGAAAAGACGAAAACCACGAUAAUGCAGAACCAGAAAGUAGAGUGCCAAUAAACCUGACUUGUGAUCCUGGAGUUGGAUAGCUUUGCGGUUGAAGUUCAAUUGCCAAUUGUACUUGAUUGAUGAACCCUCGAAACUUUGAUCUCGUACCAUCAAAUUUCUCAGGUAAGGCAAUUCUUGGUUCUCUAGUGCUUAUAGGGUGUUGUACAAUUGGAGAAGGAACGUGAUUUGUUGUAGAUGUUGAAGCAGCUCCGAUCAUCUCUAUAUCUCCAUUUUCUGCUAUUCUUGUUCUUUCCUGUGUUGGUGAAUUGAGUUGAUGCAUCGCAAGCAUUAACUCCCUCAUUUGCUCUUGCAUUUGUGCCAUUGCACUCUUCAUUUCAACAAGCUCUGCCAUAAUGACACUAAGAAGAAAAAUUUGUUUGAUAUUGCUCAAGACAAAAGAAAAGAAAGACUUGAUAACAAAGAAGAUACUAAGAACAAUAUCAGUUUAGAAGUGGGUAAUCCGCAAACUUCUAAUACGCUUAUGUCUUGUCAAGAGAAAGGGGUAAUCCACUCUUACUCAAGAAGGCUAUCUCGAUAAAAUAAGUCAAAAUAUAAACAAGUAGGUAUAUUAAAAGGACACUGGAAUGGCUAUUGCCGCAAGACAAGAAACUAAAGACUCUUGAACCUGGACUAGAAGCAAGAAAGGAGUUGACAAGAGUGAAGAAGCCUUCACUCUUAUUUCUAUAUAUACUAUCUAACUAGAGGCUACGUGGCGACGUUCUAUAGGACCUCCAAUAUGUGUUGACUUUGUAGGACACAUGCCUUGACUUACAAGGCAAGUUUUUCUACGUGUGGGCCACAUAGUUAGCUUGAUCUUCAAGCUAACAACAUGUGUGGCACAUGGCCAACUUGUUGACCACGUUUCUAAUCCAAAAUGUCAAUUAAAGACACCUAUGAAGUCAAAGCAACGUCUAGGAAGUUUCUAGGAAGCUUCUAUAUUAAAUAUUAUAUAAUUAACUUACUUUUAUCUACUUUUACUUACUUCUACCUAUUUCUAUAUGUAAUUAUUAGCUUACAUAAUUAUGGCCGUGACAUUCUGCUUAUGCAAGGGUAUGGAGCGAAGAUGGGAGGAAAGCUGUACAAUUUCUAACAGUACCUCCUAACCAUGAACGGAAUCGAGAUAGGUUGAGGGAGAAACCAUUGCCAAAGAUUGUUGAAGGAUUUAAGGAUUUUGGGGAGGUACCACUAUAAAGCGAGAUUAUAGAGGUACAAAAGAGGAGGUACUCUCGCGAGAUGAAGGUGCCUUUGAUGCGAGUUUCAUUGGUAUAUUGCAGAAUGGAAAUAUUAUGUAUAAGAAAGUUGAUGAUUUUAAAAGAAAAGAAAGAAAAAGAUUAUAUAAUAUUGAAGGACAAUUACGCAAGAUAGGUACAUUGCAUGAUGAUGAGAGGAUUUUGGGUGUUUAUGAAGAAAAUGGACUGGAAGAUUCAUUGGAAUUGAUUACAUCUAUUGGGUUAGGGGAUAAUGAUAAGAUUGUUGAGAUUCAUUCGAGAGAGGUUUAUACCAUGCUUGAAUCUUUUCAAGCACCAGAAGUCACAGUAGAGACGAGAUAUAAAACGGCAGAUAAGAAGGUAAAGCCUGUUGCCGGACCAUUACCAGAGGAUUCUAAAGAACAAAUGGGAGAAGCAUCAAAAGAAGCAAGUUUAAGAGAUCCAAUGAGUAUUGGACAUCAGUUUACUAAAGAGACUUUUGAAGAAUUGAAGAUUGGUUCUGAUGGUUCUUUAUUGCCGGAAGAAAUUACUUGCUUCAAAAAGAUGUUGGCUAAACAAGGUAGAUUGUUUGCUUUCGAAUCUCAUGAAAUUAAAUGUGUGGAUCCGAAUAUUAUAACACCUAUGGUUAUCUUCACUGUACCGCAUGUACCUUGGAAUCUAAGACCGAUUCCAGUACCGAGGAUAAAUUUAUCUAAAUUGGUGGAACUAUUAAAAGAAAAGAUAAAGAUGAAAAUAUUGGAACCCUCAUUUGUGCCGUAUUCUAGUCGAUGAUUUACGGUACCUAAGAAGAAUGAGUCACUACGGUUUAUUCAAGAUAUGCAACCAGUGAAUGCAGUAACUGUCAUGAAUGCAGGAAUUGGACCUAUUGUGGAUGAAUUUGCUGAGGCGUUUGCUGGAAGGGCGAUCUAUUCAAUGGGUGAUUUGUAUUCAGGUUAUGAUCAAUUUCAACUUGCCGAAGGAAGUAGAGAUAUGACAACGAUGAGGACAUCGCUUGGAUUGGUUAGAAUGUGCACUCUUCCUCAAGGCGCGACCAACUCAGUUGCACAUAUGAUGAAUGGCAUGAAUAAGGUAUUGAGAGAUUUUAAUCCAGAAAAGACUAUGCCUUUUCUGGAUGAUGUUCCUAUAAAAGGGUGCAGAGAAGGAGACAAGGAUGAAACUUUAGAUACGAGGGGGUGUCGCAGAUAUGUUGUUGAUCAUAUACAAGAUUGUGAAAAGAUUUUAACUCGGCUUGAAGAAGUUCAUCUUACAUUAUCGGGUAUGAAGUCCGUAUUUGGAGUACGAGAGGCCGUAAUUGUUGGACAUUUAUGUGGAUCUUACGGAAGAAAACCAGAUCCGACUAAAGUUGAUGCAAUUGGAAGGAUGAAAGAGGAUUGUGAUUCUUUAACAGAAGUUCGUAGGUUUUUGGGUGCAUGUAUAUUUUAUCGAAUCUGGAUCCGUCAUUAUGCUCACAUAGCGAAUCUAUUAUAUGAACUGUUACGCAAGGGUUACCGAUUUAAAUGGGAAGAAAGGCAUAUUCAGGCAAUGCAAAGAUUGAAGAAAUUAUUGAUGUCACCUCCAAUAUUGAGGAAGGUUGAUUAUAAGUGCAAUAGACCAGUGAUUCUUACUGUAGACGCUAGUCCAAUUGCCAUUGGAUGGGCUAUGGGUCAAGAUGAUUCAAAUGGGAAUAGAUUUGCAGUUCGAUUUGGGGCUAAAAGUUUUAAGUAUUCGUCAACGUGCAAAUUCGCAAGUUAAAAGAGAACUUUGGGGAGUCGUUUCGGCUAUGAAAGCUGAAAAGGACUAUUUGAUUGGGGCAGUAGUAGUAAUUGAAACAGAUUGCUUGCCAUUGCUUGGAAUGAUUAUUAACUGUUCAACGCCAGAUAUUGCAAUGUUGAGAUGGAUUGCUUAUAUUAAGUCACUAAAUCUAGAAUUUAAGCAUAUCACUGGGAAGGACAAUUUAGUAGCAGACAUGCUAUCUCGAGCAAGAUACAAGAGGGAGGACGAAAUGGUUGAAGACAUUGAUAACGUUGGAUUGAAAUUCUAUUCAAUAUCAAAUCUCAACAGAGAAGAUAAGCUAUUUCUUGAAGAAUCUUAAGAAGGAGAAUUAUUGGAUAUUGGUCAUUAUUUGAAUACCUUGUCUAAGCAGGGAAAUUGGUCUACAAAAAAAUUCAAACAAAUAAGAAAAAAAGCAUAUGGAUUUUUACUUCGAGAUGGAUUCUUAUCGAAGAGCCGAAGAAAAGAAUUGAGAUGCCACAACGAGUGAUAGGCAAAAGGGAAGAAAAACUAAAAUUAUUAAAGGAGUUUCAUGAUAGUUUAUAGGCAGGGCAUAGAGGAAUCUAGGCUACUUUUGCUAAACUCAAGGAACGAUAUUGGUGGAAAAAUAUGUAUCGAGAUGUGCUCUCAUUUGUAGAGUCAUGUGAAAUCUGUCAAUCGUAUUCUAAUAUCCGACAUCGAGAUGGUCUUCAUCCUACGUAUUCUCUAACUAUUCAUUUUAAAUGGGUUGUUGAUUUGGUUAUUAUGCCGGUUGGGUUAUGGCAGAUGAGAUAUUUGAUUUUAGCUCGUGAAGAUUUAUCAAAUCAAGUAGAAGGAAGAGCAUUGAGGACAAAAUCUACAGAGGGGAUUUGUAGGUUUUUGCUUGAAGAUGUCAUUUUUCGUUACGGGUGCGUAGGAAAAAUCACUGCAGAUCGUGGAGAAUUAAAUGCACAAGAAGCUCAUAAGUUCUUUGGAAGAUGUGGAGUUAAACUAUCACUGACUACUGCUUAUAAUCCGGAAGGGAAUGCAAAAAGCGAACGUGGUCACCUACCGAUUGUGAAAGCAUUGGUUAAAGCUUGUAAUGGGAAAGUUAAAGAGUGGCCACGGCUUUUGUUAUUUGCAUUAUGGGCUGAUCGAACAAUACAUAGCUCGGCGACAGGAUAUAUGCCAGUAGAACUUAUGACAGGUCAAAAAUCAAUUAUGCCGAUUGAAGAAAAGGUACUUACUUGGAGUAUGCUACCAUAGGAAGAUAGAUUGACAAGAGAAGAACUUCUGGCUAUUAGGAUUCCACAAUUGGAGCACAGAACGGAAUAUGUCUAGAUAGCAUUGGAAAGGUUAAAAAGAGCAAGGUUACAAAACAAGGUGCGAUUCGAUAAGCAACAUCGAUUGAGACCAAAAGCAAUCGAGGAAGGUGACUGGGUACUUGUUUAUGACAAUAGUCUGGAUAAUCAACAUAGUACUUUGCGGAAAUUCUCAAAACGUUGGUUUGGACCAUAUGUGGUAACAAUUGUUCAUGAUAAUGCGACUUACUCAUUACGGGAGUUAGAUGGUAUAAAAUUGAAAAUACCAAUUGCAGGGAAGCGAGUAAAAAUAUUUAAACGAAGACACGCAGAGAUGAAUAUACAAGACCUUAAUGAAGGUAUAGAGAUUCCGCAGCAAGAAGAUGAAAGUGAUUUGGAUAAUGAAGGUGACGAAGACGAACUGGACAAAGACGUAGAGGAUAUAUUCUGAAUCAAACAGCAAUUGGGUAAAUUGGUGCAUACCGGAGGAUGCACAGGUUCAGAGGAGGUGGAUGUCAUGUUGUAACACGAGUAUACUAUGAAAAAAUAAAAAAAGGGACUUUUAUUAAUAUUCAAUUACCUCAAAUAUUGGGAGCAACGACCAAUUCAAGUGCAAAUACUGAGUGGCCUGGUUCAGUCACCCGGUUACAGUCAGCCAGGACAUACUAAAAUACUCCAUUCGAUUCCAAUAACGGGAGGCAGUAGGAAGAGAAGGACCAAUUCACACGACGGGUUCAAAGAGCCAAUUGGAUCCAAUUUCGAAAAUCCAAUCCAGUUCCUCUUACCCAAUAUGAGACUUGAAUUGGCCGGGGAAUCCAAUGCAGACCCAAUUACGGGAACAUCCAGGUUAUUACGGGCAUCUUAGCCAAUAUGGGACCUGAAUUGGUCGGGCGACUCAAUGUGGUCCCGAUUACGGGGUUUCGAUGCUGUUUCGGGCUGUCCUGUUCUCUGUGCCAUUUCAGGGAACGUUGUUUUCAGUAAAAGGAUCUCUUAAAGGUAGAAACGGAGGAAAAAAAAGCUCUGACGGUGAGAGCCAAUUUCGGAUCCAAGCUUUGAUGGCGAGAGCCAAUUCCGGAUCCAAGACGAAAGAUUGAAGAAAUUCAGAGGAUAAGGUUAGGAGAGAGAGUUUUUUUUGGCGGGGGGUUUUUUUUUUUUUUUUCUGGGAAUCGGGGGGAGCUAAUUCGCAAGCUUUUGCAAGGUUACUAGUUCGGUUUUCAUUGGAGGUUUUUGAAGAUCAAGGAGAUUAGAGAGAGGGGGCUUCAUGCUUCGGGUCGGGAAAGGAAAGACAUAGAAUUUGGAUUUUUCUUCUUCAUAGAGUUUUGGGAAGACUGAGGCAAUCGCUGCUGAAGUCAGUAUUGUAAUGGUGAAUCAGGAUUUUUAAUGAAAUGGUUUGAAUACUCUUGACUAUUUUGUGAAAUCGAGUUAGGUCUGUGAUUGAAGGAUUAAAAGGGUGUCUAUAGGAUUGAGUAUGCGGAGUGAAUGAAAUUUAUUGGGUUAAUCUAACAAGA